rnacentral:lncRNA from 1 species
AUGCGUAUUUUUUAUUAUCCGGUGGAUUUACACAGUUUCAUUAAUGCAAAUUGUUUGAUGUAGUUAGUACUCAGGUUAUUCGACGCUCAAGAAUUCUUAUUUAGGCAGUUCAUAUCAUCCCAUACAUAGUGUUUUGAUCUAAGAUUGCAAUUCUUCCAUGUUUCCGCAGUAGCAUAUUGUUCCAUGGAGCUAGGGUCCAAAAUAGGAAUCAACAAGUGUUUCCACGACUCUACCGCCCGGCCAAUCCUGUUCCACUGAAUCCCCUCCCUUUUUCAUGGCCACAUAUCUUUACGGCUAAGGAGUGGGAAAUCUUUCUCCUGUUACACAAAUGAAAUGUUUCAUUUCAUCCGGGAAAAGCCACCUCUUUCUCCACAAACAAUGUCUUUGUCAUUUGAUCCAGGAGCCUUCCGUUAGAUAGGAACAGCUUUGCUAAAUACUGAGAACUCUCGGAUAGAGUAUUAGAAUGAAAAGACCAUUAAUUAUAUAAGGAAGAGCCCAGGGUUCUAGCCCAUUCCCAUUCCUAAAUCAAUAAUUCGUAGUGCUUUUGCCUUUCUUGCGUACUCCUGGUGAACCAGUUGCUAGCCAUAUGUUUAGGAGGCUUUUUUCUCCAGGUACUGGUACUAAGCCGCUUUGCCAUCUCUUCAUCUUCAUCUGCAAAGAAUUCUCGACGUGAAAACACAGAGACAAAGGCCUUAUCUUUGAAUAGGAAAAAGAAUGGAUCCGAAGGUCCCAAAUCAAUUGGCUUAUUCGAAAAAAGCCUUCUUCUUUGAAAGAUAUAUCUCGUGUCUGGUACUGCAUUGUUCCACUCUGCAAGAAGUCCGAAUCAGUCUCUUGCACCUCCCCCUUUUUAUGAUAAAUAUACCAUAAAUAAUUCGAAUAAAUAGCAGUCUCUGACAACUCAUCCUCUUUAAUCUGCUUGGACCCGCUCCAAUACCCAUAGGAAAAUCCCCAGUCAUAUUCAGCGUACCUGUCCCUGCAAUCAAAUAGAUUGUCCCAAGGGCCCCACCCAUAUUCUAGGAGCCCAAGUUAUGCUAUUGAAAAUUCGUUCCUCUAGCAGUUCCGGUUUGACCAUUCCGUUCCCUUUUUCAAACUCCACUUCUUUUCAUAUAGCAUCCCUAAUCAAAGAGAGAACAAUAUCCAUUUCAAAACAUUUCUAACGGAUUCCUUUCCUUGGUUCGGACCGACGAAGUAAUGGCACUCGAUUAUUAUCAACCCGACUGCAAUCUUUUUCUGUCGGUAAGGAUUGCACCAGAGCACCUUCAACUUCAAAUAGAACAGGAACAGGACUUCUUUGUCACAGCGUGCUCAUGCUUGCUUCUGAGCUGACUAACGAACCUAUGACUGCGGCAGCAAUGGAUCUCGACUCCAUCCAUACCGCUCUUCCUCAGCGCACGCGCCUGUGCUAUGGAAUCGAUUCAUCCCAAUGGUUUGGAGCAGAGAGACUCAUCCACAAGAUUGAUGAGGGACAAGCCGCCUUUGUAGAACAACCUACACUACAGCUUCUCAUAGGCCAAGGUAGAGGUUGACCAACACCAGCCCGCCCGCUUUGCUUUUCAGUGAAAGAAAGUCCUCAUUCCUCUGCUCUGGACAAAGAUGACAUUCUAGGUGCCUCGAGCGUGAAACAAUCCAUUAGGACGUAGCCCUGCUACAAGAAAGGUGCCAGACUUAGCCAGGUCUAGACUUCGACUUCUAAAAAGAGAAAGCCACUCACUCAAAAAAGAGGAGGAAGCGGGACUGACCUCUGUUCGAGAAUAGAAUAUAGCAAGGAAUCGAGGAAAUCUGUCUUAUGGAGGAAUGUUGAAGACGGACAACCCAACUAGGAGAGUACAUGAAUCAGGAAUCUUGCUUAGAUCCAAUCCAUUACGACGAGAUUCUACCAUUCGGGCUUCAUCUUGUGCUAUUCCUAGGGAAUUAGUGAUUCAUUGAGAACAUGAAAACAUUGCGAUAGUGAAGAUACCAUACCACUCUCUUUCACCACAGCAUUGCUGUUUAUUUCCUUAGAAAAAGUAGGUGUUUAUUUCCUUAGAAAAACAAGACUAGACUAGACGGAACAACAUACAUAGCCUAGGCAUAUCUGGGGUGGGGCUUCUCUUCACUUUUUACAGAGGCUAGAGCCGAACCUUUAGGAAGAGCGAUAUUGAUCUAGUAAAGUAAGUGAUCUAGGCUCGAUUCCAUUCCCCUUUCUCUAGUAUCGAUUCCAUCUUAAGGUGGUGCUACCCGCUUCAAAAACCCGUUCUGCCAAUCUAUACUUGAGUUCGUUCCCUUGCACUUCACAAGGAACUAGUACUAGUCAGCUCAGGCUAAAAGAUACACAUUCAAGCUGGGAGCAUGGAAAGCUUAUCCUUGCCAAUGCUUCUCACGGGGCUGGACUAGUAUUUCUGCUGUUGGUAUCUUUUCUGCUCUGCUGAAGUGAACAUAUACUAACAAGGGUGUCAACCUAUGGCCAGUAUCAAGUGCCAGUGCCGCAGAGAAGUGCUUAACCUUUUAUCCCGAGCUUUGGACAGAACCGCUUUCCUAGCAGCAAGGGCUUUAUUGACCACUGAACAGAUUCGCUAUUCGCAGGCUUUCUUCCUUCCGCUCAUGGAAGCACUCAUGCAUCCACUUCACUUGCUAAUUCAGCCGUUGACCCUACCUCAGCCCAAGGCAAAGAAGAAUAUUACGUACGAGGACUACGAUUCGUUCCACAUUAGUGAGCCCUGUCCUAUAUGCUCAAAUGCACUCGGUUCAGUUCAGGUUGGACAAUCUCAUAUUAUAGAAAUACAAAUACGCUAUCAAAAAUCUCAUAAAGAAAUGUGACAAAUUCAUCUUAGCGAGCGUAUGGAUCAUAUGCCCCAUUCAAUUAGCCCAGGCGCCCAGUGAUCGGAGUGAUUUCCUUACAUCGGGAAGUUCUUACGUUCCUGAUACCGGAGUAGAAUACUAUUGAUCAUUCUCAAUGGCCCAGCCCAAUAGAGAUAGAAAUCAUUUCUCUAAUUUCUUGAUCGAUAAAAAAGGGCAUAACUCAUAACUAAACUAAUUGUGUUGCCCAUGAAGGGUAGUCAGUAGCAACGGAUGCACUACACUUGUACUUAUACUUUGAGCGCACUAGCCUUUAGCGGCGUUGCGCGUUAGGACGACUACGAAAUCCGUUUUCUUUUGCAUCCGCUUUCUUUGCUUCCUCCGUUCCCGGCUUAUUCUUCAACUCAGCACCUGUCUUUUGGGUUGAGCACUAGCACCUGGCACUUCUACCACUGAUCCCAUUCACUCAACAGAUUUCUUCUUUGACAAGCCAGGAUUGGACUGUACGAAUUGGGUGGGCACUUGGCUAAUGGAUGUUGCGAGAAUAGAACGAAUCCCUCUUCUCUGAAUUGGCGGAUCUGAGAUUCCUUCCUCCUGGAGAAUAGAGAUCUUGACUAUCUUUACUUGAAAGCCCUCUCUACUACCAGUUUGAGCACUGGCCUAUUUGCUUGCCGGGAUAUGAGAACAGAACCUUGGUUCAUAGCAGCUAGUUUCUCGUGUGGAUGGAUACGGUUUCAUUCUGACCUUUGUUGACUUCGGGCAAGGGAAAGUCAUGGGAUCUAUCUAGUUCAUAAACUGCCAGUGCUUUUGCUUUCUACGAGGCAAGUCAAGUCAAUCAAAGGCAAGGGACCAAACCCCACCGCUAGUCUAGGCAAGGCUAUGAAAUGAACUUAUAGAGAUGAUUCGCUCGUACAAAAGAAAAGGAGAUCGUUUACCGGGGGACGUUGUUAAAGCGUAUGCCGAAAGAUACAAAACUUCGAAAAUAGUGGCAGUUGGCGUGAGGGUCUAUAGUAUAGUAUAGUAUAGUUUGGGUCUCAAAAAUGAAUGUGACGUUCGCCUACUUUCCGUAGAGGAGGGCAAGAAAUUCGAAAUUACAAGUUGAUCUACCCAAGAAAUUGAACGAUCUCAAUCAGCUUAUCGAGCCAAGGAAGUGGGACCUAAAACUAGGUAAGGAGAGAACUUGACCACCCCUCCCCAACUACAUAACCAAGAGGAAGGGGGAAAAACUCCUCGAAAACCUUCCGUCUUCUUCGUUGGGGAUCUCGAAACCCUACCCUAUGAAUUUUGUUCUGAUGAGGUGAAAUCACAAGUCGCGUAUGCGGGAGGCUUACCAACCUAUGAACCAGAAUCGGAUCCGAACCGGAACAAACGAGUGCUUUCAUUCCUCGCUAGAUAACAACAGAUUCUACCACUGAUCCCAAUCCCAAGUCCGGAUUCUACCACUGAUCCCAAGCCCGGAUUCCACUACCUAUCAAUGUGUCAGUUCACUAAAGCAAAUCGUCUUUCCAAGGUGGGCAAUGACAUUCAAAAGUGAUAGAACGGCUGAUGUUGCCUCAAAAACACGGGUUCUUGAGCGUAUUUUAGAAAGACUUCUGGCUUCUUUGGGUUGGGCAUGAUAACAACCGACUUGUUCACACCUGUAUGAGACCAAGGGACCGAUGUACCCAACAUCCUAUUCUUUCUUUUCCACGGCUUUGCUUUGACUCAUGCGUAGAAUUGAACAGAACAGGGAUCAAUCCUGGCCUGGCCUGGCCUUUGCGGCCGAUAUGAGUGAUAUCUUCCGUACUAGAGGGAUGGAAGCGGCACCCUUAUAUAGACUUCCCUAGACUCUACUCUCUUUUCUUUACCAGCGAGUUCGAGUCAGCACACGUCCACGCAACCACUACUCUACUUACCGGCGCACGCAACCACUACUUAAAAUCUCAAUCCCAGUCCCAUCCGUUCUAUAAGCACUCAUGCCGGAACUCACUUCGAAGAAGACAAUGUUGCCGAUGAUAAAAGAGAUGGCAGCACAACUUCUAUUUUUUAUGCUAUGCAAAUCUCUAUGGAUUCCCUUGGCUCACACUUUUAUUCAUCUAAUCUACGAGAACACUAGCGUGCCGCAGUAGACGAAGAAGGGAGUGCCACUAUUGCUUGGGUCGGUUCAUCAAGCUGGCACUUCUCCUGAAGCCACAAGCGAACCAGAUCUAGUUAGAUCCGAAAUCUUAGGUGUAGGUCCCGAUCCGUUCUUUUAUUCUACACAUUAUUACUCAUUGGGUAUCGAUUGCAGUUUGAUUUGUUGGCCCUGGAGAACUGCAGUCUUCAACUGGCGCACUGGAAAGUGAGAACUCUUUCUUUCCUUUUGAUUGAACUCUACAAUACGAUUUCGGAGAUUGGUACCAGAUUGGAAUUCAUUCUCGGAACUCUCCUCUAGAGAAUGGCCUGGCUAAAGAGAAAGAUCUGAUCUGUAUUGUAUCCCGGCACCGGCACGAAUCGAACAAGAGUGCAGCGCGUUGAUCUUAUGAUAUGCGCCAGGAAAUAGUGCCACUGGCAGCCACUAGGUGAGAUCAAAUCUACUUUUGGAAUUGUAAAUCCAUUCUCCCGAGGCAAAAUCGGGUGAUGAAGAGGUGGUCCAGGCCCAGGAACGGAGGAAUGCUACACGAACAGAAGUUUGCACUUUCUUAGGAAUGGCUCCCAAGCUUGCCAUACGAUUCACAACUUUCGCCCAAAUAACCAGCUUGCUCUAGAAAUAAUAUUGAAUUUAAUAAAGCUACUUCCUAGCUUUGGGUCAAGGUAACCCACACAGGUAGUUGUAGAAGCACGGGGUGGGUCAUCAUUAGGCCUAUAUCCUCUGGCACAUGCUUUAGGGCUCCCGCGGGUCCAUCCUCUGCAAAGUAAACAGCAUCUCGAUUCCCCGAAUUAAAGAGUGACUGGUUCCCAGCUUGGGAAGAGGUCCAGAAUUAGUACUAGAGAUGUUGGCAGGGGAAGCCCAUAUCCAUCCCUCGCCUCGAAAAGGGCUUAAGAGCUCCAUACCUUUUGGGUAUAGAUCAAACAAAAUAGGGGUAUGGGCCAUGGGUCGACUCGGGUAAGCGAUUGGGACAUCCCUCGAAAGAGGCGAACUGCUCUCGUUUCCAUAUCCGCUUAGCAGUUGCGUGUUGUUGCGCGGGAUCAUAUGCGGGGAAGGGUCCGAAUAAGACGAUGGCAGCUCCAGAACAUAAAAAACAAGGCUUUUCCAGGGGCCUCUCCUUGGGGAGCACGGCAUCAACUCCCUGGUGGCAUUUCAUUUGAUUAAAUAUUAAAUAAAUAAAUAAGUGUGUGUUGUCCACUGCCUCCAAUUCCUUAAGAGUAAGAGCCAGGGUUCAUUGGAUCUCGCUACACCCCUUCUCUUUGUUUAGGCAUUCCGCGCCAUCUACCGCUAUGAAUGGCACCUUUGUCCCUAGAUUUCUAUCACAGUUCUGUAUAUCCGGUUCGGGAUGGAAAGGCAAGGAUGGCACCCUAAUCCCAAACUAUCCCUCGAAAGAUUGGAUCUUUUCGGUCUGUUUAUAGUUUCAAUGCCAUCUUCCUAUUGGUAUUUCGAUUGAGCUGAGCUAUUAAGGUGCGGUUGACGGCACAAGUGCCCCUCCACUGCCGCUUUCUUUAGGAGAAUGGGACAACUCCGUACCGCCCCGCGCCCCUUCCCCUUUCAAGAGGUUGUAUUGGUGCAUCAGCGAUCGCCACUUCCGUUUCAUAUAGCAGCAAAAGUUGACAAGUCCUUUUUCCCUCUAUGGAUGGAAAAGAAGAAAGUGCGUUUCAGAAAAGUGGCCUUUUUUCUGAUUUCUAGUAGGGAUGCCUUGCCGGAAGGUGCCGGAGGAGAAUAGAUAGUUGGGGCAGGCUAUCGAGGUCAAAUAGCUGGUAGUACUUUUCCCAUUUCCCACUAGGGAAUCAUCCUUUUCUGAUUCGGAUGAGUUUCCGAGGAAGAGUAGUAGUAGUGACGAAUUGGCUAAAAGCAGGUGGCAUUGGGAUCUGUUGUCAAACAAACUCUAUUGCUGAUACACGAGCGGAAGGAAGUCGCAGAUCAGUCGUUCAAAGAAGAUCUCGGUCCCCCUUUUUUUAGCGUGGAAUAGGCGAAUCAACAAAGAAUUUCUCAACAAAUAAGGGACUCGUACGUACCAAUGAUUUACUAUCGAGAUCGAGUUUCGCUAGAAAACAGACUUUUCUCUAUUCCACAAGGACAAAAGAAGUGCCGAGUGGUGUUACACAAGUUCAAAAGAAGGAAGUAAGAGUGGUGUCGACUUAUUGCCCAGAACGAGCCAGUGCCGCUAUCAAGCAGUAAAGUGGCCGGGCCCUUCCAUGAGUUUAGAUCUCUAUGUAUGAAUCUCUUAUGAAAUCCAAUACUUUUUAUCAUUUCAGAACGAUCAGCAUACUGUGUGACUUCUGCGUGACAGUUCUUGCAUUUCGUUUGUUGCUUUGCAUGAACAUUUAGAUAUUGGAAAGCGAACUCCCUUAAUUAGGAAUUUCAUAGAUAGAGAAGGACGGGAAAAAAGAGAGAGACUGACUAACUACCCGGAUCAAUGCUGAUUGACGACUGAAUAAAUAGCCGGAAGCAACAACUGCACGAGAGAGAAAGAGCGGAUCCAACUAAGGAAAUGCAGUACCUGUUCUGUCGGAGCUAAUCAUGCAAAGCUAGCGUAGCGCCAGCCGUCGAAGUGAAUGAAUUCGAAAGAACGAAGAAAUAAGGAAAUGAGACGACUCUUUCUUGAACAAUUUCAUAAGCAGAUCUUCCCCUCCACACCAAUCACGAGUUUUUUUUUAUUCCUCUCGUAUAUCGUCGUCACGCCCUUAAUGAUAGGUUUUGAAAAAGAUUUUUCAUGUCAUUCCCAUUUAGGUUCGAUUCGGAUCUCUCUGUUGUUUCCCUUUCCUCCCGAACCUUUUCCUCGAAAUGAUAAAGAAUCUGGUACACUCGAAUUGUAUUAUUUAAGUGCUUAUUGCUUGCCAAAAAUCCUACUUCUACAAUUGGUAGGUCACCGGGUUAUUCAAAUAAGUCGUGUUUUCUGUGCUUUUCCCAUGUUACAACUUCCGUACCAAUUCGAUCGAUCCGGAAUGGAUCGGUUAAACAUUCUAUUAGGGAGCCCGGUCUUGACUCUUCUGUGUGGUAUUCAUUCUCGUUCGGCUCUUGGAGUCACAUCCAGCAGUGGUUGGAACAGCUCGCAAAAUCCAACCACUUCACCUACUUUAUUGCCCCCAACCGUUUCCCGUACCUCUAUAGAAACAGAAGGGUUUCAUGUUCUUUCAUCGAUUGGGUAUUCCUCUCCUUUUGUAUCUCUUUAUCCAAUUUCGGUCUCGAUUAGUUCACAAGAUUGAAUGGCCAAGUCAUGGAAAAGCCGUUAUUCGAUUGUUUUAAAAGAAUGUGUUGAGCCGGGCCCGGGUAUGUAAGUUCAGCGAUGUACAAACAAGGAUUGAUUUGACUUCCGCACCUAGGGUUCUAUUUUUUAAGAAUAAGGAAGAGGAAUAGAAUCUCAUUCAUGUGUUCAUGCUAACAGAAGAGCGGAUCCAAUACACAUACAUAAGGCAUCGGUUGUUCUUAACAGCGAUGGCUAUUCAUUUAAGUCUUCGGGUAGCACCACCAGAUCUUCAACAAGGUGGAAAUUCUCGUAUAGUAUAAUAUAAUAGUAGUAGACGGCAGUAGAUCCUACAACGGUACUUCCGUGGAGAUACGAUCCUACAACGACUAUUUCCUUGCAAAGCAAUUCAAACAGUACCGGUACUCCUAAGCCAUGAAACCAAUGCUAAGGGAAAGACUUCUGCUCGCUGGAUCAAAGAAAAGGUAAUAUCCUCGGGAAAGGCUAAGCACAUUCGAAGACUGGCUUUCGAUUCGUAUCCUCUGAGCAAGGCCUAUUCCGGGGAAACAACUAAACCCUGGGCUGUUUAUGAUGUGAGGCUGAUUCCUAUUCCACAAAAUGGUACGGUUGUUGUAUUCCGAUUAGCGGUGCCCAGGAAAGAACGGGUACUUAACGGCUGCUAUAAACCAUUAUGGAAUUCUGUGUUACCUUCAUUCAAUAUCUUAUAUUAGGUAUAGAAUCGAUCAUAGUUCCCCCACGACCAAGAGAAGUGGCUUAUCUAUUGAAUAAUAGAUCUCGUAAAUCAAAUAGGUUAUGACAAGAGAGGGUUCCUACACUCGUUCUAAUGGAACGUGGGGAUCAAAGCAAGAGUCAAAGUCACAGAUCAGGAUGGACAUAGUACCAAUUCUGUUAAGCCACAACCAACUAUCUUAUCAACCCAAAGCUGCAAGAAGAGAAGUUAAGUUGUUGACCAGGUUCAAAUAGCCCAGUUUCAAAUAGUGCCGUAUUGAAUGCGCAAAGUGCUGCUCAGCCUAGCCUAAUAGAGGAGAGGAUGGAUCCGACCUCUAGCUCUUUACUUUUACUGCCUGUGCAGCUAAGGAAAGACAACUACACUUCCAAGUCCUAAGAGAAUACUAGUAUACGAUCUGUUAUAUAAAUAGGUAAAUGUUCCUUUCCAUUAUGAAUCGCGAUUGUAUGGCCAACCAUUGCGGGUAGAAUGCUAGAUGCCCGGGACCACGUUACUAUUAUUUAUUUCUUUCUCCUCCUUCAUAUUGACCUUUUCUAUUUUUGCCAAUAAAUGACGAGCUACAAAAGGAUUCGUUUUUUUUGCUGAUUACUCCUUUUUUUCAUUUUAAAGAGUGGCAUCCUAUGUCCACUAUCUCGAUCGAGGUAUGGAGGUCAGAAUAAAUAGAAUAAUAAUGAAUGGAAAAAAGAGAAAAUCCUUUAGCUGGAUAAGGGGCGGAUGUAGCCAAGUGGAUCAAGGCAGUGGAUUGUGAAUCCACCAUGCGCGGGUUCAAUUCCCGUCGUUCGCCCAUCGCAUUAUUGCAAAUUCCAAAAAUGCAAUUUUCCAUAUUCCUAGUUACGUAUUUACUUACCUUACGGCGACGAAGAAUAAAACUAUCACUAUAUUUUUUCCUUUUCCUAGUUCUUCUUCCAAGCGCAGGAUAACCCCAAGGGGUUGUGGGUUUUUUUCUACCAAUGGGGGCUUUCCCUUCACCACCCCCAUGGGGGUGGUCCACAGGGUUCAUAACUACCCCUCUUACUACGGGGCGUUUACCUAGCCAACACUUAGAUCCGGCUCUACCCAAACUUUUUUGGUUCACCCCAACAUUACCCACUUGUCCGACUGUUGCUAAGCAGUUUUGGGAUACCAAACGGACCUCCCCAGAUGGUAAUCUUAAAGUGGCCAAUUUACCCUCUUUUGCAAUCAGUUUCGCUACAGCACCUGCUGCUCUAGCUAAUUGCCCACCCCUUCCACGUGUGAUUUCUAUGUUAUGUAUGGCCGUGCCUAAGGGCAUAUCGGUUGAAGUAGAUUCUUCUUUUUUCUCAAAAAACCCCUUCCCAAACUGUACAAGCUUCUUCCAAAGCAUACGGCUUUCUAGAUGUAUAUGACGAUCUCUAGACAGAUGGAUCUUAUAUGAAUCGUAUGAUGAAGUACCACAUGAGUGGAUAUAUAGAAAAGGAAUCCAAAUCCGCCGAAUCGCUCAUGUUAUGAUCUUCUACAUCCUAGGUCUCCGCGUUCCGUCAUCUGGCUUAUGUUCUUCAUGUAGCAUUCAGAUCGAAUGACUCUAUGAAAUUACGUCGAUACUUCCACAUAUUAUGGGUAACGUAGGAGACAUCCCUAUUUUCACCCGGGGGUCUUAAUUACCACUGCUUAGCUUCGCCUCUGACCAUAAAAUGAAAUGUGAAUAACCCGUCCUCCUCUCUUUGAAACAAGGGGCGCUUCCGGUUCUGUGCGUGCUUCAAACAAUUUUGUCUUCUCCAUAUCUCUAGAGUCAAGAAUUUUCUAUGAGGAACUACUGAACUCAAUCACUUGCUGCCGUUACUCAACAGUUUUCUGUUGAGGUCUAUCCCGUAGAGGUAGUCAAAUUGGAUCAGUGAUCGAUUUCUAGGUUUCGUCGUAAACCUAAUUGGUUACUUCCAAUUACGUAAAUCAAUAGUUCAAACCGCACUCAAAGGUAGGGCAUUUCCCAUUGAUAUAGGAACUUUUGUACCAGAAACAAUAGUAUCUCCAACCCUCUGGGAUGUAAAAUAUAUCUCUGCUCACCAUCCCCCCAGAAAUAGUGUAUGAGACAAAUGUAUGCAUUUCGAUUAGGGUCGUAUUCUAUGGUUACGAUUCUACUCUACCAGAUAUGUCUUUUUGAUUCCGUCGAAAAUAGAUUUUACGGUAUAGGCGCGCCUCCCCCUCUAUGCCUUGCGGUAAUGAUUCCUCUGGCAUUACGACCUUUACCACAACGGUGCCGUCCAUGGAUCAAUUUAUUUCGUGGAUUGGAUUUCACUUGCCUGUCUACGGUUCCCUUGCGUGUGCUCGGGAUAGGUGUUUUGUAUAAAUGUUUCGCCGUAUUAUUAAGUAUUCUCCUUGAGUUCGUUUCUCUAUCUAGAAGUGGAAUAGAAUAACCCGGUUGAAGGGUAAUGAUCAUACGUCUGUAAUGCAUUGUAUGUCCCAGAAUAGGUCCCAUUCUUCUACCCUUUCCGGGUAGUCGAUGGCUAUUCACAGCUACUACCUUAACACCAAAGAAGAGUUCGACCCAAUGCUUGAUUUCUGUCUUAGUGAAUCCCGAUUCGACAUUAAAAGUAUAUUGAUUCUUUCCCAAUAAACGAAGACUCUUUUCUGUAAAUACUGCGUAUUUGAUUCCAUUAUCGUACGAUAAUACUAUAUUUUUAUUUAUAUUUGUUUAUUGUAUUAUACCUUUCUAUAUUCUAGAUAUAUAGAAUAGAAGAAUCUCGAUUUGUCAAGUCUCAUGAUCGUAUCAAGAUCUAUUUCAAUUCGGCUCAGUCUUUUUUUUUUAGAAAAGAUUGAGCCGAAUUGAAUUGCAAUCAAUUAGAGGAAUAAAGAAGAAUUACUGCAUUUCUUAACUUAUUUUUUCUCUUUCUAUUUUGCUUCUUUUUUAUUUUAUAUGGUAUCCAUCGCUUUGAAACCAUCAAAUUGGAUCUCCUUCCAUAUUUCACAAGCUGCGGCUAGUUCAGCACUCCAUUUGCAAGCUGCUUUGAUAAUUUCAUUACCUUCACGAGCAAGAUCGCGCCCUUCGUUACGAGCUUGUACACAGGCUUCUAAAGCCACACGAUUAGCUGCUGCACCAGGUGCAUUUCCCCAAGGAUGUCCUAAAGUUCCUCCACCAAAUUGUAAUACGGAAUCAUCUCCAAAGAUUUCGGUCAGAGCUGGCAUAUGCCAAACAUGAAUACCCCCAGAAGCCACCGGUAUAACACCUGGCAUGGAUACCCAGUCCUGAGUGAAAAAGAUACCGCGAUAACGAUCUUUUUCAAUAAAAUCAUCGCGCAAUAAAUCAACAAAACCUAAAGUUAUUUCGCGUUCCCCUUCUAACUUACCUACUACUGUACCGGAGUGGAUAUGAUCUCCCCCCGACAUACGCAAUGCUUUAGCUAAUACACGGAAAUGCAUACCAUGAUUUUUCUGUCUAUCAAUAACUGCAUGCAUUGCUCGGUGAAUGUGAAGAAGUAGGCCGUUGUCGCGGCAAUAAUGAGACAAAGUAGUAUUUGCGACCUCCUGUUAAGUAGUCAUGCAUUACAAUAGGAACCCCUAAUUCCCUUGCAAAUACAGCUCUCUUAAUCAUUUAUUCGCAUGUACCUGCAGUCGCAUUCAAGUAAUGCCCCUUGAUUUCACCGGUUUCGGCUUGUGCUUUAUAAAUUGCUUCGGCACAAAAGACAAAACGGUCUCUCCAGCGCAUAAAUGGUUGUGAGUUUACGUUUUCAUCAUCUUUGGUAAAAUCAAGUCCACCGCGUAGACACUCAUAACACGCUCUACCGUAAUUUUUUGCGGAUAAUCCGUUUAAUAGUACAUCCCAAUAAAGGACGACCGUACUUGUUCAACUUAUCCCUUUCAACUUGGAUACCGUGAGGCGGACCUUGGAAAGUUUUUGAAUAAGCAGGGGGAAUUCGUAGAUCCUCCAAACGUAGAGCGCGUAAGGCUUUGAAACCAAAUACGUUACCCACAAUGGAAGUAAACAUGUUAGUAACAGAACCCUCUUCAAAUAGGUCUAAUGGAUAAGCUACAUAACAGAUAUAUUGAUCUGGGUCCCCAGGAACGGGCUCGAUGUGAUAGCAUCGUCCUUUGUAACGAUCAAGACUGGUAAGUCCAUCAGUCCAAACAGUUGUCCAUGUACCAGUAGAAGAUUCCGCAGCUACUGCAGCUCCUGCUUCUUCAGGCGCCCGAGCUGAGGAGUUACUCGGAAUGCUUGCUGCCAAGAUAUCAGUAUCCUUGGUUUCGUACUCCGGGGUGUAGUAAGUCAAUUUAUAAUCCUUAACACCAGCUUUAAAUCCAACACUUGCUUUAGUUUCUGUUUGUGGUGACAUAAGUCCCUCCCUACAACUCAUGAAUUAAGAAUUCUCACAACGACAGGGUCUACUCGAUAUGGAUUAGGCGUAAAUGAAACCUUUGCAAAAAUCGAAAAAAAUAAAGAUAUUUAAUUAAUAUCAACUCAUUAAAUAAAAAAAGGAGUAUGCUUAAGUUAAUGAAUAUGUUUCAUUCAUAUAUAAUGUGUACACCCUGUGUACAAAUGCAAAGCAAGUUCUUUCCAAUGCUACUUCCAAAAUGCCAGUGCACGGAUUUGAUCUCUUGACUUUUAUUAGCUCCUGAUAUAGAUAAUGCUACGUGCUCGCUAACUCUAUUCGUCCUGGCAUGGCAAAGCGGCGAACCUGCCUGCCUAAUGAAGAAAGAGAAGUCGAUCUAGAGAAGCUUCUUAAGUAAGAAUAAGAUGGCAAAAGAGUAGAGAUUUUACAGUUCAUUCGCUUGGAAGCUAGCUUCAUCUGGAGCAUACACUCUGGGAGGGGUAUCACAAUCUUCUGUACCUAUAUGGAAAUCGUAGCAAGGCUAGCUUGUAACAUCGAAGAGCAGGCAUUUCCAAUUAGUUUAGUUGAAACGUUGCAAAAACCAUAGAGCUGAGCUGGCUUAUUAGGUAGUUCCUUUUUGCAUUAUAUAUUUAACGCCUUCUUGCUCAUCUAGAAACUCUCCCUCUCAUAUCUCGUGACAACUAUUCCUGUCUCGGUUAUCUGUGCUAUCCAAAUGCCUGCCUCUUUGUAAGCCCGUGCAGACUGAAAUGCAUAUGCCUCCCAAAGCGGAUUAAGCAUAUCCUCGCUCUCUCUACCCUUUCCUCUCUCAUUCCAGAAAAGAAGUGCAAUAUGCGAUCAAUAAGCUUACGGAUUCAAUACCUUUGAUAGCAUCAUAAGUAGUGCCGUAGGUUCAAUCCCAACCAAUGCCCAGCUUCAGCAAAUAGAAGAAGGGUUAACAUCAUGAAUAUGCGAUCAAGCAAAGAGUGAAGAAGCAGCAAUACGUGUUUUGAGUUAUCUUUCUUUUUUCUUCUAAAAAAGCAAUAGAAAAGAAGAAAGAAUUCCGUAGUGUGUAUCAACUUCAUCUUCUCCACAACCUCACAGACCUUAUCACUAGGGAAAGCCGAUACAGCUGAUCCCUCACCAGAUGAGGCUGGUGACAAGUUCCAAUUGUACUUUUGUUGACCAAUAUCUGACCGAGAAAUGAGUUGAUGAACCCGUCUUACCAGAGAUAGGAAUUUUUCCAUUAUUCGAUGAUCCAACGCGCUAAGGGAAUUCAUGUUCUCAGUAUUGACCAUUACCCUGGAUUCUUUCCUACCCUCAAUUGUGCCACCUUCUUGUUACUCGCUGGCCGAGUAUAAUCAUUAUUUUAUUUCCAAUUCUAGUAGUUUGUAGUUUGAUGAAUAUAGUUUAUAACUAUAAUAUGGGUUAUAACUCAGUCUGUUUAUUAAACGAUUCUCGCCUUCCAGCAGCUUCAGGUAGCCUCCCUUAACCCUGCAGGAUUCGAGGGAGUCGUCGAGCCUUCAAUUCAUCCGGCACUCGCUGGUAACUUCCAGGAGCCUCGAAUGAUUCCGACACCCUCUUCAGCGCUUCUGGACGGUUCUCAACUGAAAAGUAAACUCAAUUCGUUAAUAACCCGCUUUGCAAAUUUCUUUUUCAAGUGCAAAAACGAUGAAAGGAUCAAGGUCCCUUUCUUUAACGAUUGUGGCCUUUUUUGAACUAAUUUUCGGACUUCUAUCCGCGUCUUUUAGCCUCAUCUUCAUAUAGCUGGAAAAUCCGUGCAAAUAACUCCGCCAUCAACGGUUCCUUCCUCGGCUAAGAAUAAUGCUAUGCUAUCCGGAAUUGCAAUUAGAUAGUUGUAGAUAAGGUAAGGCCCUUCCCCUCUAUCCAGUUCAAACCAAUGGCAUGAAAUAGCACUAGCGAAAAGGCUAAGCACAUUUGAUAGAGGUAUACCUCACCAAAGCAAAGAAGAACAAAACCUGGGACGAGGACGGUCGCGAAUGCAAAUGCUUAUGGUUCUAAUCAAGUGAAGCCAAUGCUAGGAGGUUGAAACUAGAGGUCACAAGGCAUGACGCUGGAGAAAGAGAAGCGUGAUGUUGUCAGCAAUCAAAUUAUCGUAAAUAGAUAGUAUAGUAUAGUAUAGUUACGCUUUCCUGAGUGACUGGAUUCCUAGCUCUUCGACAGCAAGAAGUGGUACGAACUUCAUCAGCGCAUGAGAAGCAAGCGGUCUUAGUGGAGUGGCGGACUUCCCCUUUCAAGGAAAGGAAAGUUUUCGGAUUCUCGUCAAAGAGGAGAGCUGAGCCUAAAGAAAAUCACAUCAAGCUAAGUGCAAACAGGCGCAAUCAAGAUCACAAGAAGAAGAGAAGAAACAAGAAGAAAACACACCAAGGCAUUAAUCAACAGCCUAAGCCGAAGCCACCAUAGGCAAUAGAUCACAAUUCAAGGAAAGGAGCAGGGUCACUAAUAUUGUAUGGAUAGUACUCGAAGAAAGGGAACUCCCAGGAAACCUAAUCUAUAAGAGCCGUGUUCGUGCUGUGGAUUUCAAAGUGAAGUUCUUAGGUGGAGGCGAGUUCUGUUCUAUUCUAUGACAAUCCUCAAACUCCAUUCAUCGAUUGCUGUUCCAUUGAAGGGAAGGAACUCUAUGUUGGAAGUCUUCCCAAGCCAAGAAACAAGAUCUGUGUCUCUAUUACUCGAGCUGUGUCAAUGACAUAAACACGCCGUAGUAGGGUGUGCCGUUCACCCAUCUCAGACGCCAUAGGUUCUCUAUUCUUAGGAUCUGCCUGGCCUGGCCACUCAAAGAAAAAGUACAAUCUGCUGGGUUUUGACAUCAGUGAGGAUAAGUCACGUACGAGUUCAGGGCACAUGAUCUUUCGAAGUGCCAUAGGAAUUCUAAGAAUAAGGGAUGGUGCCAACGAGAAAGAGACCCAGCUAUUGUACUGGUAGAGAAGUGACUCGACUGGAAAGGCAGCUACCUUGGUUCUUCGAAUAGGUGUGGGUAAACUGCUCGCAUUUUCCUAUGUGGGUGGCGAAAGAUUCUUGCUAGAUUUGGAUCUUAACUCAUACCGCUGUUGUGGCUUGAAGGGAAAACCAAUUCAUCCUUAUGCUUUUUGCGCUAGAUAAGAACAAGAACUUCCCUUUAAGUCUUUCCGUCUUUCUACCUGACCUGCAGAGGACUAGAUAGAGGCUGGCAAGCCAUAGACUCAUUGGGGUCUAAGUAAGUACAAACAACUUCAACUCCUCGCGAACCGACAGGACAGAUUUCCCCGGCAGCUGCAGCUACUGGUAUCAGCACCAACCAACUCUAUUCUAGCCUCGUAAGCCACUUCUCCUCUCCCGGCAGGCUUGGUCUCGCCUUCUCCAAUUAUCGGCAUCUCUCUCCUAUUAUCGUAUGAGAAUUCUAGCCAGUCACUUCGGGAAGGAAGUCAACUGCAAAUAGCCAGCCUCCACGAACAGCAAAGGAGCUACGGCACUUCUGGCACUAUCCUCAAACCCAUAUGGCGCGUCGUCAACCCAAUUUGCCAAGCGUCAAUCUCAAUCUUCCAAAAAAAAGGAAACUAGCUAUCUAGAGGAAACUAACUAUCUCUAUCUAGAAGAAGCUGAGAAAGGUACCGCUGUCUAUGAAGCAAGGUCAGAAUGUGCCGCUAAGAUCCCAGCCAGGCUAUGAUAGCAGGAAUAAGAAAUUGCCAUAGGGGAAUCCAUUCAUUCUCGACCAUACAGGGAGUUUAGUUUCGAGGAUAGCGUAUUCGUCCGAAGUCGUAUUAGUUGGCAUUGUCACUGGAACAGUUUCCUUGAUAUCAUCUGUGGGCUCUCCAUUGGUUUGGUCCGGCAUCUUAGGUUUCGCAGGAUCACUUCACUUAACUUAUUUCAUUUCGAGAAAGAGAACGAUUCUUCUUCGAUCUAGAAAGAACGAUUCUUCUUCGAAGCAUGAACCAACCCGCACCUGCCCUCAAAGCAGAUACGAAUCACGGAAACUUUGCCUCUUCUGAAGCGCAGAACCAGAAAACCCACGGCCUGCUGCUUGAUUAGAAAAAGGAGAUCCACGGCCUGUGAGUAACUACGCCAUGUUACGAAUCACAGCCUGACUUCCUCUAGAUGAAAGCAUAGGUAGUGACGACCUAUUGUUUUCUUCUCAGCGGACCCAAUGAGUAACUACGCCAUGUUACGAAUAAAAGCGAGGGAAAAUCGGAUGAGCAACUUUUGCAGCUAUAUGAAAUGCACUUUGGAAAAUCAGGUCUUGAGGACGAAAAACACGAUAAAAUGGACUUGCCUACUUUUGCACCGAAGAAACUCAUAAGUAAUCCAAUUUCCGAGGACACGAACGGAAGUAAGCUGUUUUUGGUAUUCGUAUCGGAAUUAGCCAGAAGAAGAAACCAUUUUCACUGCCCUUCAUUCUUUGGCCUGCCUGCCUUAGUGGCCCCUCUCUGAUAAGGUUUUCAAAACGAAAAAAAAAUGACAAAUCUGGUCCGAUGGCUCUUCUCCACUAACCACAAGGAUAUCGGUACUCUAUAUUUCAUCUUCGGUGCCAUUGCAGGAGUGAUGGGCACAUGCUUCUCCGUACUGAUUCGUAUGGAAUUAGCCCGACCCGGCGAUCAAAUUCUUGGUGGGAAUCAUCAACUUUAUAAUGUUUUAAUAACGGCUCACGCUUUUUUAAUGAUCUUUUUUAUGGUUAUGCCGGCGAUGAUAGGUGGAUUUGGGAAUUGGUUUGUUCCGAUUCUGAUAGGUGCACCUGACAUGGCAUUUCCACGAUUAAAUAAUAUAUCAUUCUGGUUGUUGCCACCAAGUCUCUUGCUCCUAUUAAGCUCAGCCUUAGUAGAAGUGGGCAGCGGCACUGGGUGGACGGUCUAUCCGCCCUUAAGUGGUAUUACCAGCCAUUCUGGAGGAGCAGUUGAUUUAGCAAUUUUUAGUCUUCAUCUAUCAGGUGUUUCAUCAAUUUUAGGUUCUAUCAAUUUUAUAACUACUAUCUUCAACAUGCGUGGACCUGGAAUGACUAUGCAUAGAUUACCACUUUUUGUGUGGUCCGUUUUAGUGACAGCAUUCCUACUUUUAUUAUCACUUCCGGUACUGGCAGGGGCAAUUACAAUGUUAUUAACCGAUCGAAACUUUAAUACAACCUUUUUUGAUCCAGCAGGAGGGGGAGACCCAAUAUUAUACCAGCAUCUCUUUUGGUUCUUCGGUCAUCCAGAGGUGUAUAUUCUCAUUCUGCCUGGAUUCGGUAUUAUUAGUCAUAUCGUAUCGACCUUUUCAAGAAAACCGGUCUUCGGGUAUCUAGGCAUGGUUUAUGCCAUGAUAAGUAUAGGUGUUCUUGGAUUUCUAGUUUGGGCUCAUCAUAUGUUUACUGUGGGCUUAGACGUUGAUACGCGUGCCUACUUCACCGCAGCUACCAUGAUCAUAGCUGUGCCCACUGGAAUCAAAAUCUUUAGUUGGAUCGCUACCAUGUGGGGAGGUUCGAUACAAUACAAAACACCCAUGUUAUUUGCUGUAGGGUUCAUCUUUUUGUUCACCAUAGGAGGGCUCACUGGAAUAGUUCUAGCAAACUCUGGGCUAGACAUUGCUCUACAUGAUACUUAUUAUGUGGUUGCACAUUUCCAUUAUGUACUUUCUAUGGGAGCCGUUUUUGCUUUAUUUGCUGGAUUUUACUAUUGGGUGGGUAAAAUCUUUGGUCGGACAUAUCCUGAAACUUUAGGCCAAAUCCAUUUUUGGAUCACUUUUUUCGGGGUUAAUCUGACCUUCUUUCCCAUGCAUUUCUUAGGGCUUUCGGGUAUGCCACGUCGCAUUCCAGAUUAUCCAGAUGCUUACGCCGGAUGGAAUGCUCUGAGCAGUUUCGGUUCUUAUAUAUCCGUAGUUGGGAUUCGUCGUUUCUUCGUAGUUGUCGCAAUCACUUCAAGCAGUGGAAAGAACAAAAGAUGUGCGGAAAGUCCUUGGGCUGUUGAGCAGAAUCCAACCACACUAGAAUGGUUGGUACAAAGCCCUCCAGCCUUUCAUACUUUUGGAGAACUUCCAACUAUCAAAGAAACUAGAAACCAAUCCAGUUGCUAGAAAUCCAUCAUUAGCGAGACAAUUAUUUUUCUUUUCUUUUGAUUUGUUUGGGCUUUGCCUUAACCGAAGCUAUUGCAUUGUUUGCACUUAUGAGGGAUCUUAUUUGUGUUCUAAAAUAUUCGAGUAAAGUAUGAAAGGCUGGAGCAACACUUCUCAAUGCCACUUCCGGAAACAAAUUCGUCGUGAAUAAAUAGAAUAGCGGAAUAAAUAGAAUAGGUUGGACAUAGUUCCUUGUAGGAUGAGUGGAUACGUAACAUAACCAUUGGGGAGGCUUGAUGUUUCCGUUCGUGGCGGGACAUCCAUCCCUCCCCUCACUUGAGUUUUGUAGGAAGUAAAGUGUCUCAUAUUCCAUUCCAUUCCAGUAGUAUGAGCUUAUUUCCUUUCCGAUUCCGAGGCCACCAUCUAGUGAGUGAUUGGUAUACUGCGGAUGGUGGGAAAGAAGAGUGGGUAAGUGGGCUUCUUUCAUGGGUUCGAUUGGCUGGUUUUGACUGCCCUAUUUUGCAGGAUAGAAGAACUGUUUAAUACUUUGGAUCAUGGAUAAUAAGCUGCUCUUGCAAAAGUGCCAGUGGUAUAAAAGAAAAACUUCUCGACUUGGCAGAUUCAUUUCCUUUCUUUCGUCCUAUGUUUGUGCAGGGGCCCCCGGUACCUGAAUAGAGCGUGGAUAUUUAUGGACGGGUCUAAUCUCGUCGACAUGCCACCCUCUCCUUUCAGUCGAGCAUUUCACUCUCUCCUGUCGCUUUAUUCGAGAAUGCGAACACCUUAGCGCCCUCUACGCUCCUCCUUCCAAUUGUUCGAUCGUAGAAUUGCACAAAAAAAGAUUGAGAAUCACCGAUUGAACUCAGUAGAAGGUUUUCCCUGACUAAAGAGGCCUAUGGAAUAGAGGCGCGCAGCGUGGAAAGAAUGGAAAUUGCAAGUGCAAGACGGUAAAAACCGGGCUAGUUCUGCGUCGGUCAUCAUGCAACUUGACCACAUGAAAUUGGGGCGUCUCAUUUCCGUGAGAAUUGUAGUUGCAUUCUCCUUGUGGAGAAGUCAAAGUGCCAUAAAGGGUCGAUCCAUUCUAUCUAUUUAGAGGAGGGUGAGCCUACGACCACCAAUUGCUUAUCUCCAAUUACCAAUUGCAGCAGACUUGGACUAAUGGAAUUGCUUGAAGUGAAGACCAGUGAACAAAAUGACAAAAAAGAAUUGUUUACCUCUUUCGAGUUUCCACAUUCUGGGCACAGCUAAGCGUUUAGUUUAGGCACAUAUUGGGUUUCAGACAGAUAGGGAAGGUCAGCAUGGGUUGACUGGGAUCCCUCUGUUUCACUAGACUGGGGAGACGAGAACUAUAGAAUCUAAGGCGGCCCAGAGAAAGCAAGAGUGAGUUGCCCGGCCAAGCCCGUUGAUUUGCUUCAGAACGAAGGUAUUCGAUUAUUCCUGGGAUGGGAGACAUUGUGGAUCUCUCGAGGACUAUGAAGACCAAGGAGUCAUGACUAAUGAUCCCGUACUUAGUGUGUACUGGUUUAGUAGGGAAGCCUUGCCUUUACCAGCUAAAGGGAAAUAGGUGUGCUGGCUGCAGUGGAAAAGAUCAUAUAAUAUAAGAAAGAAAGGGGUCGUCCCAAACUUGUGGAGUGCGAUGGGGGACUUGGAUCUAGUGCCGAGUGAGGAGCUUUGCGGAGCCUACUCCGGUAGACAUAUUCCGCAGCGAGAUAUUGAGUGCUGUCCGUGCUAAGGAUAAGGACAGGUUAGGUUAGCUCUGAUGGUGGGACAUGCUGAGCGCACCCUAAUCAUCUUUGAAUAAAUAGCCCUCCACAUUAGUGAAUCCAAAUCCAGAAUACACAUCCAAGGAAAUGAGCAUACUUCUUGGAACUACUAGAGAGUUCAAAACCUCUUGUCCCUUGGGCAUAAAUGAUCAAUUCUGUGAAAGGUUAGGCUAGUUGGUCCGGCGGAAUGGAAACAUUAGGGCUUGAUUGACAUACUCGAGACUUAGCAAUCUGGGUUUCUUGGACUAGUUUUGUCAAUGGGCUAAGACGAGAUCCUACGGUUCACUUUUCUAUCUUUAGCAUUCCACUUCACUCCACAAGGGGAAUCAUGGAUGAACAAGACAAACCGGGCCUACUCCUUCCCAAUCUUCUGAACACUACUUAUGAUUUUCGCUACGGCACUUGAGUUGGAUAUCUUAGAGAGUCUAAGCCCGUACUCUGAGGUUGGUGAAGGGAAGUGAAACGUAAGCGAGGUUUCGAAGAAACGAUAGAAAAAUCGAUUUAGACUAGUCUCCCUCCUCUCUAUAUUAUCUGAAAUGUUCCAAACCAAAGUAGGAACUGCUGGGAUGGGAAUAGGACCAGCCAAUCCGUCGUGCUUUGAUAGCGUGCCAGCCGAGCGACUAGCUUGUCAGGUAAUAUGCAUUUCCAGGUCAGCAAGUAGGUAAGCUGCGGUGGGGGGCCUGACUGGCGCAACUAAAGCCCCCGAGGAGAAGAUCAAGGGGAAAGACGCCGAAGUCGUCAAUCCAUUGUAUGAAUCAUGGAUGGCAACUGAUCAACAGGUACUCGGAUACUUGUUGCUUGCAAUGACUAAAGAAAUUCUUGUGCAAGUCUCCGCCUGCCGCACAGCUGCCGAAGUCUGGAGUGUCCUUGAGACAACCUUCUCAUCUGUGACGAAGGCGCGCGUCGUCAAUAGUCAAUACAAGAAUCGCGCUCUCCAGCUUGAAGAAAGGCGACCUAUCUAUCACCGAAUAUGUCGGGAAGAUGCGGGCGCUUGGAGUGGAGAUGUCCAACGCUGGCAAGCCGAUCGACGAUGAAGACCUUGUCUCCUACAUCCUGGCAGGCCUCGACGACGACUACAACUAGGUUGUGACCACACUGAAGAACCGAUCUAUAUACUGUGGGGGAAGCCUACGCGCAACCCCUAAGCUUCGAGCAGCGCAGGGAACUGCUCCAUGGCUCAAGUUAUCACUCAUCCUCGACACACAUUGUCCCUCGAGCUUAUCCAAAAAAACCCUUAUCUCCGGAUGUACAUUACCGGAAAGCAAUAUAGCAACUGAUAGUUUAAUAAUAAAUCGAACUAUUGAUUGAAGGUCAAAAGCUACUGUUCAUCCAGAUCAGUGAGAGAUGGGGCCAAUCCCUGGCUCGAACGGUUUACGAAUAGGUUUCCAAUCUAGAUUGAUAUCCUGCCCGUAGGGAAUAUGUAUUUAUUGGCCAAACCAACGUCUGUGCAGAAAUAUGACAUUAAUCAAGCUUUAUUUCAGAAAAAAAAACAGGAAUAAUGGUUUAAGUGUUCUAAUUCUUCAGUACAUUCAGGGAAAGAAGCCCGCCGACCCACUCUUCUUUCACCCUCCAUCACCCCCAACAACUAGGGGGAAGUGAAGGAGGGGCCUCGGAAUAACUUAUUCUUAUAUAUUUGAUAAAGAUAGUUAUCCUACACGUGUUAUAACUUUGUUUUUUAACAAUGAAUACAGUAAUCGUAGUUACUGUGCAAUCGCUUCAGUUCAUACAUCAUACUAUUGUGUCCAUCCAUACUAUACUAUUGGCAUGGUGAUUUAUGAAAUCAUAGUAUAGUAGUGACGUAAUAUUUAUUUUAUAUUAUUCUUAUAAUCAUUUAUUCUCUUAGUCUUUUGGGGGACUAAAACGCUUAAGCAGUCAACUAUAAUAUCUUGAGGAAAGUAAUAAAGUUCUCUUUCAUAUUCAUAUAUAGUAUGUUCUGUGUUAUACAAUUCAUUAUGGGAGUCGUAGACUUUGCCUAUUUGCUCAAUAAAUCCUUGUGUAGUAGGAGAUAGGAGAUCAUAUCUUAGCUGCUUAGCUCGAUAUAUAAUAUUGUCAUACAUGAAUUUAUUAAUUAUAAAUAUGGGGUGUCCCAAUCGAAUCGAGUCAUUGCUUUCCUAUAUAGGCUUGGGAAUGCUGCGCCAUACAAUGGUGUUGUGAUGAAAUUAUCAUGAACUGUGUAUACAGGUACUGUAUUAUUACCAGAUUCAUAUUCAUCCAUUAGAAUAUCAAUAAAAUGAAUUACAGUUAAGGCAUCCUUCUGAUGGAUGAAGUUAGCAAAAGUGGAACUAGUGUUCUUCCGAGUAUUCUUUUUGUUCGUGGGUAUUCGUAGCGUUACGACUGAUUUUUUCAUUUUAGGAUUAGAACCAUGCCAUGGGUUUGGUAUUUAACAGUUAUUUUGACAGGUUCCAUGAUUAUAUAAUCUUGGACUGUAAUCCAGUAUUCUGUGGAAUAUAUAACUGGUUUAUUGAUAAAACCACUAACCCAGCUAAUACUUGCAACCAAAUGCAUGAGGUUCCUCAUAUCUUUAUAUUCAGAUUCCCAGAAAUUGUAACAUUCUUUAAUAAUAGUUUUUAAAUCUUCUACUACCAUAUAACUACCAAUCUUUCCCAGCAGAUCAAUAGCUGUGCUAAAUUUGGAUUUCCCAUACACAAUAGGCAUAAAGAUAUUUUUGAUGAUAUCACGAUCAAAUAAGCUACACACAUAUCUGGUGAUAAUAUGUUCACCGUAUUUCCGUUCAAUAUAUUUCUUAAAAUCAGAGUCAAUAAUUUCAUAAAUAUUAUUUAUUUUAUUAUUCUCACUUAUAAGAUUAGUAUUUCUAGCCAUGGUAAUAUUACCCAGUAAAUAACUCAACAUUUGAUAUGCACUUGCUGAUGCGUCCAGGUGAAUUGGUGUUCUAGCAAUCUUAUCAGAGUCACGGUUUUUUAGUGUAAUAACACUCGAGAGAAACUGAAAUGGGUGUCUAGCCUUACGUGCUAGAUUAGCCAAUCUGUCUAGCACGAUAUCAGCCUUAUUACUAUUUAAGUCAGGACACUCAUGUAUAUUUUUAAUAAACCAUAUUAUACCUUCAUUAUAAUUCUUCCAAUAUUUGGAAUAAUGGAAAGCUGUUGAAGCCAUAAAGGUUCGUAUGCCCUGACUACCUUUAUCUGGGGGUGUAUCUGUCACCCCACUUUGCGCAAAGAGUAUGAGAGAUCUAACAAGAUCUCGUUCGUGGUAAUGAAAAGGACCAUAUCGGUAAUUUCGUCCCCUAAAGUCCAAAAACGUUGGGAAAUACAAAUUGUAAUUUUGUAAAGCAUCAGCUAGUUUUAAAAUGUAUUGCUCGUAGCAGGCAGACUGAAUGUUUUUUAUCCAAAUGUUGAUCAAGUCUUUUAAAGAAAAAUAUUUUUUCAUUUCUUUGUCAUUCAAGUAAUGAUGUUUUAGUCUUACAGUCCCCUCCGUUCUAUCAAUAGAAGCAAGAAUGCUAGGCAUGAGAAGCCCUGAUGCAUGGUAUAUAUCCUUACAUUUUACCAAAUGACAUAAUAAUUUUGUAUUUAUUUGAUAUGGCACACUCUGUAACUUGUUUAUUACACGGGUUAGUCGAGCUGUUUUUUCAUCACUCACCAUAUAAUAUAUAUGUUAAAACGCUCUUCAUCGUGUGUAGAUAACAGGGUUGAGGUAUUGGUAUAAUGACCAAGUACUUCUGGGUCAGAAGAUAAGUACCCACCCGUUAGAUCCCUCAGUUUGGUUGUUACUCUGUCGUUAUUCAGCCGUUUGGGUCUGCGAUUCCUCCAUUCAAUUCAAGUGGUGGACACACCAUAGGUAAUGCUAUAUGGAGCGGUAGCUCCUUAAUGUCAAAUACACACCUAACAUAGGUGAUAUACUUUGCAUACUUACCUUUUUUAGGGCUCUUGAUAUCACCAUGAGGAUGGUAGAUCUCAACCAAAUUCCUAUUAUUUAGCCAGGUAAAUAGGGUACUCCCUAUAUUAUACAGCUCUUUAGAGCUAUCUGAUUUAUUGCUUUUAUUAUUAGCUUCUUCUUUCGGAAUAUCAGUUGUCUGAUUAAGACUAUCAUCUGUCACCUCAGCCAUAGUCUCAACAACAGAAUCUGGGAAGUUGAUAGAGGAUUCUCUAAUUCAGCUCUCAUUAUUCGUGUAAUUUCUUACGUUUAUGUCUAAUUCAGCUACUAAAGUAGACAGACGUACACUUUUUUGUUCCAGUGCAAAAACAUUAAAGUGCUUGCUUAGCACCCAUAUAACAAUAGUUUCAAUUGUAUAUGUCCCCAUUGCUCUGACUAUAACCUUAUCUGACUCAUUUUGUAAUUUAUCAAGAAGAUAAUCCAUAUAAAAUCUUUAUUGAAGAAUAAUACCUUCAACUGUGGUAUAUUAUUAUAUAUAGUAUUUUCUUUACAGUGAAGAGUCAUAUCUUCCACUUUGAGUUGUAUAUUUCUGAAUUCUGAAUCUGAUAGAUCUUCUCUCCAUGAGUUUUUGAUAAACUAAAAAACUUUAUAAGUCAGUUUUUCCUCUCUCUUAUUAUCAAGUGAUUCUGUUUCGUAGGACUUCAUGAGGGUAUCCCAGAACUGAUAAAGUAGAUCUAACAUCUCAGUAGUGUACUUACCAUUCUUUUCUUUGGGCACCCAAAAUUAGGAGUUAUACCUCCUAGUUUUUGAUUCCCACUCCUCAAAUACAGUUUGGUUUUGAGAUUCUAUCAUUUUUUUACUGAUCUCUUGAUCAUCGCGUUCUCUUACUGUAUUAUCAAGCUCGAUGACAGGAGCGCUGCUUUCCCUAAAAGGAUCCAGUACAGGGUUAGGUUUUUCCUGGGAUAGUUGUUUCACAACAUUGUCUACAUAUUCUUCAGCUUGAGCAAUUUCUUCUUCUCUAGCUUUAGCUUUAGCUUUCGCUUUUUCUGCUCUAGUUGCUGCUUUAGAGAAAGCUUUAGCUUUCGCUUUUUCUGCUCUAGUUUUUUUUGAAUAACACCGUGAAAUUAUCAUAUUAAUUUGAAAUAAAUAAGAGCCUUUCAUUAAAAAGAGCAUUUUCAUUUUUAUUUUAUUUUCUUAAAACUUAUCAUAUCGUCCGGUGGUGGAUAUUCCAAUCAUAUAAGAGUAUCAACUUUAUUUAUAGUAAUGAUACUAAUGAUGUGUCUUUACCUUGGCUUGAUCUAGUAGUUAGUUACUAGAUCCGACACCCGGAUCUUUGUGUGAAUCUAAUAUUGAUGCUCGGUAUUUGAAUCCGUUCUGCAAAUCAAUAUUAGAUUAAUUGGUUUGUACCUUUAUAAUAUCGCUUAAUCGGGAGGUUACUUUUUACCAAUGAAGAUCUCUCGAGCUGCUCAAAGAUCUUUAAGUGGCUUAGCUUACGAGGUAGACUUGAUCAUGAUCCAUAUCCAACCUUCUCCCAUCUGCUUCUGUCUCUAAAGAUUAGAGUCAUCGACGCGAUUCAAGUCCAGUGCUGAUAAAAUCCUGCUGUCCAGUUCGGGAAAGCAAGUGAUUGAUUAGUUCCAUUGGUCUAUUGGCUUCAGCUUCCAGUCUACCUCAUUUCUAUCAAAAUGAUCUGGUGUCUUUAGCGCGUACUACCAGUUAAGGAGCCAUAUCCGAGGCUCUAUCAGCUGUUAUACCCUCCUGGGCAAGCGUGUUAUUGAGGGCUCUUUAUCCCGUUUUUACACUAAAGGGAUAGGGUGAAGAGCGACCUCGAUAGGGAGCACGAGCGAUGCAAGCAACAGGAGGACAAGACAAGCCAAUGGGAUGAAGCCCUUAUCAGGUCCAUCUUUGAUGAGAGGGCAGUAAAGAAAAGAGGUUCUUGGGCUGUCUCACAUAGCCUAGCUUUUGGUCGGCUCUCUCGCUAUAUCCACCCGGAUAUCGCUUCGUUCACCUACUCUGAGCGGGGUAUUUUCCAGUCAGGGAUUUCUCCCCAUUCCGAGUAAGAGUAAUUCACUCUCGUCUGUUUGCCAAAAAUGCGGGGUCUAAUUUGUUGAUUCUCGGAUACGAAGAUAUCAAAUGGGAUACAUCAAACUGGCAUGUCCAGUGACUCAUGUGUGGUAUUUGAAAGGUCUUCCUAGUUAUAUUAUAUCGCGAAUCUUUUAAAUAAACCCCUUAAGAAAUUGGAGGGCCUAGUAUACGGCGAUUUCUCUUUUGCUAGGCCCAGCGCUAAAAAACCUACUUUCUUACGAUUACGGGGUUUAUUCGAAGAUGAAAUUGCAUCUUGUAACCACAGCAUUUCUCCCUUUUUUUCUACCCCAGGCUUUGUUUCGAAAUCGGGAAAUUGCGACAGGCCUUUUAUUCAUAACAUUAGUAGUUACUCAUUGGGUGCUAUUAGAGAACAAUUAGCGGAUUUGGAUUUGCGAAUUAUUUUAUUAUAGAGAAUUCCGUGGUGGAAUGGAAGGAAUUAGAAGACGAGGGGUAUAGUGGAGAUGAAUGGGAAGGGAUGGCAGGAACAAGGUAGGGCUUCGGCUCUUCUUUAUCGGUAUCGGUAGUCUUUCUUGCUAUAGGUAAUGUCUUGACUUCGUUGAUGGUUGCAGGAACUGCUUCAGUUUCACAGGCCCCUUUCAGAACGAUAUGUAGUAGCUCAUCCUAAUUGAAGUAUUUCAUUCUGGCGAGCGUUCCUUUCAUUGGAAAUCUUAUGAGUGUCUUUCCUGGUUUUUAAAGACGGGUUUUCAUAUGCCGUCUGCGCUUGGCUUCGGCUGUAGAAAGAAGUCCCUUUCUCUCAGGCAAGAGGAGCCUUAUCCAGGAUUCGCUCUAGCCGCUUGACUUAUCUGCUUUUGGCUCUAAGGGUAUCACUCUGUCUUUUUUCUAUCUUUUCAAACUAUUAAGAUUCUGCUUUUCCAGAGGACUCUAACUACAAGGUAUUGCUUCGAAUGGCCCCGUAUAAAUAGAUUUCAGAAGGAAUUGACUGCCAUUAUUGUUUCCGUAUCUGGCACUGCUCAAUCCUCUAUGGAAACAACGGUACUUCCGUUCCUUUCAUAUCCUGCCUUGCCAAAGAAAGCGCUAUUGAAUUCCAAACAUGCGCUCGAUGACUUGAUCACGAACGAUACAGCCCUUAUCUUAUCGAUAGUUCAGCAUUCAAGUUAAGCAUGAAAGAGAACGGGGGUAGGUCAAGCUAAACCAGAACAAUCCGCGCUAGUAGCUCAAAGCAAGAAAACGUAUGCUAGUGACUAAGGCGCAAUCCAACUGCUCUAUAAAGGCUCUGCUUGUGCUAUUGCCCCUUACGAAAGUCCAGGAAAGGAUGGAUAAGAGGAUGAGUUAGGGAAUCCUACGUAGGUACGAAAUGAAAUCCACUCCUAAACUUAGUUGUAUUGGUAUUGGCCUGCCACCUAGCUAGAAUAGAAGGAAGAAUCUCGUAAAUCUAGAUUAAGUAGCACAAGCUGAUUUAGAAGGAUCAAGUAAGAUGAAAUUUCAAUGACCCAAAGGAAGGUGUGUUUGCUUAAGGAUGGGGAUCCGGUUGUGCCGUGCCGGCCCCGGGAAUCGGCGAACUACGCUACACAGUCAGAUACCUAAGCGAACGGAUAAGGGAAAGCCCGCUAUAUUAUAUAUAGUAAUCACCUGCCAAAAGGAAAGCCUGACCGAGAAUAAUAAUAGGUCUAUGCGCCGAACAAGCAACGGUAUAUUAGAGAUAGUAAGGAGUUGUAUACACGGGGGUAUGCAUUCAUGUCACGCUUUCUGUGUGAUAAGAGGUUGCUAGCUAGCAAGUAUAGAAACAGGAGAUAUGCGUAGUUAACAGAAGCAAGGGAAUAUGCGUGAGUUGAUUUGAGAGUUUUUUUGAGAAAAAGCAAUUUGGAAAAUGCAUUGCAUUUUCAAGGGAUUGCCAAGCUAGGCUAGGGAUCGUCCGCGGGUAUCAGAUCAGGAAUAUCGUAUUUAUCUCUUCUAAUCUAGAUCCCACUUCCCUCCACUUCUUGCCUCACGCCCGUCAAACCUGACUCCACAUUAACGACUGUCCUUCCACCCAAUUCCCCGCACCCUUGCAUCACAUCUCCAACCCCUGCCUCCACGCGAUCUUCCACAAUCGUACCCCCCACCUCUGAAGCUUGCAUAACCCCCGACGAACCUGUCUGCACCUGCGGGCCCGCGCUUACAUCAUUGGCAUCGCAUGAUUAAACAUCAGCACGCGCACUUCCCUCCGUUUUCGAUGCCGACAGGGGGCUGCUAGGGGGUGUCAAGUUUCGUUUCGGUCGUGUCAGACGACAUGCAGGGGGGCAAUGGCUGCCAACGGAAUCUAUAAUAAUUCGAUACUAGGUCAACUGUACCAUCGGACUUGUAAGAACAUGUAAAAUGUACGAGGUUGUACCAGCUGUGUGCAGUCCUCCGGCACGGGUUAAGUGUCCUGCAUAGAUCUUCCCCUCUCUCCCAACCCAAAGAAGAGAUGUUCGCUUCAUAGCCUUCUCUUCCGAGAUAAACCCUACAAAGGAUCCUAAUCGUGCUAGCCUUUCAUGGACUCUUCUUGGAUUUCCUUUCAGCUGCGCCCAGCACCUCUCUAGUUUCUCUACGAGAUGGAGAUGGCUCAUUCUCUAGUUUUCCUACGAGAUAUAAGUCAGUUUCUAUCGUACUUUGAAGUUCAGGAAGGAGUUAUUAAUUAAGACGAAGAAGAACUGGGUGGGGAUAUGCCUUUCCCAUAACAAUAGAAAGAAUCAAAGCCAAUAUACACUAUAACUAUAGAGGCCUACCUAUGAAAAGUGAGAUGAGAGCUUUGUGCUAAUAAUUGAUUAUAAAGGUGUACCUAUCGACCCCAGGUAAUUAAUGCCCUAUCCUUCUACUUGAAAAACGUUACGUUAGACUUGACCAACUGUUAAUACCAAUCCGGCAGCAAUAACUACUACUAAUGCAUAUUCAUAUCCCACUAGUAGACUUAGCAGACUGUGACCUAGCCAGUCUAUUUGUUGACAACAGACCAGUACUAUCCAUCAAUGCCACAAAGACCAUAGACGACCUCUAUUUCGUGGAAGAACUCCUUCUCAUAUGAUGCAGGGCAAUAAGACCAACUGCCCGCCCUACCUAGUGAGAAGAAAGCUUAUAAAUAUAAGCAUAAACGAAUUCCUAGCCGAGCCCUAUACUUACCUGCUUGUACGGUCAAUGCCCUAGUAGACAUCAACUUGUUCAUAAACUCCAGCCUUAUCUACGCUGCUUUACCCGACCCAGGUGACCUACUUUCUCAGAUGAGAGAUUCGGCGGAGUAGUAGGAAGUCCCUGUGGAGAACUAGAAGACAAAACGAAUAUAGCGGACCAAGCAAUGAAUGACCUAGCCUAGGUAGUCCUAUGUUUGACCAAUGCUGCCUUGUAUGUCUUGAUCCAAGAUUUCUCAGCAAAAAAAGACAUGGGAUUAUUGAUCAAUUCACCAUCCUCUUCAUCUGAGUGUGCUUCCACUUUAUCGUUUGUGGCAUGUGCAUUAUGCAACAAGUAGAUUCCUGAUAAAUGAACCUUCUCCACAGGACCAGCAGGUACCUCAGCAGUCCACUACUACUACUGCUGGACAGCCUAGUUCUUCUACACCACCAGCUAUAGCUCCUAAUGAUCCAUCAUCAAUCAGUUCGACUUCAGUUCCACCUACCAAGCCGAAGCAGCCAUUUCCAGAACGGUUUGAGAAGUCAAGUGAAGACAAGCAGUUUGCUAAGUUUCUUGAGAUGAUUCAAGAUGCGCAGAUUACCAUCCCCAUCCUUGAUGCUGUCUUACAUGUUCCGAUGUAUGCAAAGUUCUUUAAGGACAAAGAAGCGAAACAUUAACGAGCCAGAAGUGGUUACUCUUACUAAUACUCUUACUCUUACUAAUACUAAGGUUGAUUUAAGUUUCUCUGGUUCUUGAUUGAGUCUUUGUCUUGCAGUUGCAGGAGUGAUGUCAAACCUCUUGCUUGAGUUGUCUGUAUUGGAAGUCGUGUAAGCGGCUUCUUCCGAAUUUGCCUUGCCUCCGGGUCUAGUACGUAUGAAAAGAUGUCAGCGUCGUGGCGAUUGCCUUUCCUGGUCUGGUGGUGAAGGAUUCUAUUCCCGAGCGGCUAAGGUCCAAUCCGGUAUUCUAUUUCGUCUGUGCGAGCAUUAAAACCAACCAUUGCCGACGUCCUCAUAUUCUCUAAUUUGGCUAAUCUCCGUGCAUUAGCAGGUUAAGCAAAUCGAUUCCAACUCAGUGGCAGAUAGGCUGCAACAUUUCUUUCCUAAUAACUAAGACUUUCUUUACUACUUUACCAACCCAUAUCACGCUAACUGAUACUGUGCCUAGUGAUUGAUGAAGGUCACAGAGGAGUAAGAAUAGCAAAGCCUACAAAUAAUGUGAUAAGAGUUCGGUUUGGCGUGGCUGGACAUUUAGGAUUAGCUUACUUGGCGCUAUCCACAGUUACCACCUUUUCAACCACAUCAUCUCUUUUACUUUCUCUCGAAGCUUCUAGCCAGCGAAAGCCUAGUGAAUCCAGAGCCAUCUUCCUUCCUAUUAGCUCUCUCUCAGGGAUUCGAAUGCCCAUUGGCAUUAUUAAAAACAAGUGCCCAGCCCAACUUGCUUGCAUAUCUCGGGAACUCUUGAAACAUAAGGAAUAGGAGGAUGCUUCGAUUCUCUUGUUGUCGACUAAGCGGAGCGGGGUUCUAAUGAGACAGACGCGUAUUUCACCCUUUAGAUUCCCUUUUGCUCCCUCGAUCAACGUUAGAAUCUUUCUCCCGGUACGGGAAGUUGAAAGCCAGCGUUCGGCACAAUAGCUCCGCGAAAAGACUCGCUCAGGCUAUCUUCCUUGAAAAGUAUCUACUUAUCAUAUCAAAUCAAACUGAGCACUCCUGGCUGAUUGCAAGCCGGUUUCAACACCGGUAGCACCCAACUCACAACUCUCUUCUAAUCUAAUCUUGGUUCGCUUCUCGCUGAUCCGACUCCCUAUCGCCAAAUUGUCGGUGCUCUACAGUACUUCACUUUUACAAGACCUGAUAUCUCAUAUGCAGUAAACCUAGCAUGUCAGUUCAUGCAACACCCACGAGAUUUGCACUGGCAAGCAUUAAAGCGUAUUUUUCGGGAUUUAAAGGGUACAUUAUGGCCUCCAACUUUAUUAUGGACCCUUUGAUUCAAUCCUUUUUUCUCCUCGAAAGCUUGCUUCUUUUAUCUGCCGAAAUUCUUCAUUACGUCAAUAGCAGCCGGAUCUUUAUGCGAAUCAUUCUUUUCUUACUAAGCCCAUCCGAGUUAAGACGUCAGGAAAGGACUGGCAAGAAAGCCAUUGGCUGGGUCUCAAAAAUGAAAGCAUAUACUGAUGGCAGUAUUUAUAGGUACAAGGCCCGCCUCGUCGCCAAAGGGUAUACUCAGAUUGGGUGAGGGUAUUGACUACCAUUAUACAUUUGCUCUUGUGGCCAAGUGAGUAACUCUUCGAGUUUGACAUGUAGUGCACUUCUCGAAAAUCGAUGAAAGGGCAGGGAACACCCCAAGGAAAAGCUAUCCAACUACUAUUUCCUAUUCUGCUUUGCUUAGUCCCAAGCCUUAAUGGAUCACUUCUUCAAGCGCCUCAUAUGGGCCUUGGGUAUCUUCCCUACUUGACGUCACUUGCCGCAAGCUAGUAUUCGAAUUCUUAAUGAUACGUAGUAAAAACAAAUCGGUUGAUUCAUCAACGACUUCCUAGCUAGGAGGACUACCCUCUUUAUUGACUUCGCUACUGAGACCACUUCCAAGUAAGAGCGCAAGCCGACCGAGCAUACCUUCUUUGCAAGCCGUGGUCCCACAACGGACCGAAAUGGCCAUCAGAAAGCAGAUUCAUUUUCUGAUAGAAAAAGCCACUUUCUCGAUUCAAGAUCUCCGCUUCCUCUCCUUAUUUGGAUCAUGUGCAUUUUAGCCUGAUUUCUAUUUCUAGUUCUAGACUCCUCUCAAACUAGCCUUUUUGAGGGUUCAAACUGAGAUUGAAUAUUCAUAGUCUCAAAUGGGUUCUACCUCUAGGUUUCUUUACUCCACUUUGAAUUUUCAUAGAUUAUUUCAGGUAGGUAAGGAGGCCCGUAUUCCCUCCGCUAUAUCUCAUUCCUGGAUUUGCCUGCCUCUAUAUGGCCUCUAUAUAUCUAGUAGGAGAUUGAGUAGCACUUGACUAGAUUGACUGGUGCGUGCGCAUUUCCGAAUUGCAUUUCUUUGACUGACUUGUAUUUCCUAUAUUUCCUUUGGGAUUUUCAUGGCCUUACAGAGUGAGUUAAGUGACUUGGAGUUAGUUAUUUCCCGGAUUCCUCGCAACAAAGAGAUUGGUUCCUGGUCCUCAUUAUUAUUGUAAGUGAGUGAUGCUUUUUCUUAGAGCUCUGCGCGCGCUCUUCUUUCGAGAAGGCUAUAUAUAUAUAUUGGAACUUCCCCUACUAAAAAGUACUGCAGGAAACCAUUCUUUUCUUCUGAUACGCCCACUUUUUUUAUAGCUAGGUGCCGCCCGCCCGGGACCAAGGCAGGCUAUAGUAUAGGCGGAUUGCCCAACCGAUCAUAAUCAUAGGUUCAACCACACCAGAAAAGUGUUUAUACAUUUGGAAGACUUACUACACUGGAACCUAGAUAUCAACUAAACUAGGAAGUAGAAGCUAGGGCAGAGCCGUUUGGCAGGCUGCCCUCCGUCAAUCAAAGAUAGCUGUCCAGAAAGAAAGCUGGGAAAGGUACCAGCCCCAGGUGAAGAAUAGGAAGUCCUAUCAAGCAAGAGUUCGGACGGCGUUAAUCGAAGAGCUUACCGGUCUGUGUUCCAUCAAUGCCCUUCUGACUGGCCUGAGAGUUGGGUGAUUAGCGAAAAGAAAAGCACUAGCCACGGACCAAGGAGCAGUGUGAAUCGAACAAUGCAUGAAAAUGAAUGAUUGGCUUCUUGUCCUGCACCCGCCCCUUUUGCCAAUCUAGUAAAUUGGACCUCGGAUCUGAUAAUGGCUAGUUGAUACAUACGGAGUUAUAAGGUCGACCCUCACUUCCUUCAAUGAAAGCUAGGGCUAAGGGUUAUUGGAAUAAGGAUUCCGGCUGGUUAGGUUAAGGGAAUAUCUAGGUCUGCUUACUUCUUCAGCUAAUGAGUCUCCUUCUUCCAGGUUCCAAAGCGUAGGCCAAGGACCCGGACCUCGAUCCGUCAAUAGAAAUACUCCAACCAGAAAGUAAGAAGGAAGGCUAGUAGUAGGCAGAUAAGAAAGGUAGAAGCAUGGCAGUCGUCGGAUAAGAAAAGAGGAAACCCGGGUGAAAGGAAAAAUGAAAUACUGGAAUCCGUUCGCUACUCUUGUUAACCCUCACUCUGACUAGGGUUGUCCCACCAACCCGAUGCUAUGAUCAUGAUACGAUUUACCGGACUAGCCGGCAUACGCUCACUUCCUUCAAUCAACACAACUGUGAAGUCGUAUUGCAUUGCAUCUCGGGUCAGGUUGACUUGACUGGUUUCCUUGACUUGUUUCAAAAGAGACUGCUCUAAGGGAGGGGCUACUUUUGCUUGUGCUUGUGAGUCUUCAUAGAACCUUGCUUUCGAGCUAGAACGAAGCGCUGGUAGACUAGCUUCUUUUUUGCAGCGGAAAGAAACAAACUCAAGGAAAGGAUAGGAUAGCCAGUAGAGAAGAAAGGAUAGGAAAAGGAAAGGUAUACUUUUCACAGCCGACAAGCUUUCAUUUAAGCCCUAAAGAACUAGCUUCCUGGCGGACUUACUCACUCGAUCGCCGGCUUUCAGAGGACGAAGGGCUCGUUUUUGAUUCGUAACAUUAGUAGUUACUCAUUGGAAGAGAACUCGGUAGUGAAUCAAAUCUCUUUUCUGCUCUUCACUUCAAGUAGGUGGCCAUGGACUUGCCUACUUUCCCUAUUAUAGUAUAGUAUAGGGGACCAGAAGUUUUGAAUUGUCAAUAGGCUUUCCGGAGGUCAAAUAGGGUUUCGUUUUUACACUGCACUGGGCUUGAUCCAAAAGCAAUCGACUAGAUAGAGGCUGCCAUAGGCUUCAGUGAUUUCUCCGUUAUAGGAGAGACGCAUUUCUUUUCUCGAACUAGUUUUGAAGCCCUGCCAAGAUAGAUAGAGAAAGAUAGGUGCCGCUUGCUCCACGUGUGGCCAGGAAGACUCCCAGAAUUUCUAUAUGUCAAAUACCCGGGGAAUGUGAACUAUUCGAAAUCCAGAUUAGAGUUUCCUUCGGCAAAAUCAGAUGAAGUAGUUUUGGCACUAAGGGAAGCAUACUUUUCUCAGACCAAAAGACCAUCUCUAGAGGAAAAAUCUGCUAUAAAGCGAAAAUCGCGGGAAAACGGACUUGGUAACUUUUCCAGCUAUACGAAACAGACUUGAUUCUUAUCAGCUGGCUCUCCAUCGAGAGAAAAUCUGCUUGUCAACUUUUGGACCAUGGUGAGCAUCACUUGAUCAGAUCUUAGGACUCUCUAUCGAGGAAAAACGAAAUUCUGUGGUCCCGGCGAGAUCAAGUUUUAGAAUCUAUCGUCUUCCGUUACGAGAUAUCGUUUCUAUCUAUGACAUUCUAUGUAUGCAGAGGGACCUGGCCAAUGGGGAAGAAGAACUUGUCGAAGGAUCUCCAUACCUAGAGGUACCGGUGAUUCACCAGAUCUAAUCUAGAGUCGUAGUCAACGUCUUUAGGAAAGAUGAGUGACCUUGGCAUAGGUUUGCUGCUUACGGUUUCAAGUAAAGACAGUUUCCUAUUCGUAGGUUUCAGGGUUACUCUUCUGGCUUGAAGGGUUACUCGUAUUGGUUCUUCUGUUUGCUGGUCCAGAAAGGGAAAAGGUUGAUUACUCAUUGGCUAAAGGGAAGGUUGAUUACUCAUUGGCUGGCUGUGCUAGUGAACUACCUCCAACUAUGGUUAUGGUAUGGUUACUACUGUAAAGUAAAGUAAAGUAAAGUAAAGUAAAGGUGCCGGAAAUAAUCUAGUAUUUUCCUCACCUCAGUAGGAAGGAUUUGUGGUUCCUCAUAGCAUUUCCACCAUAUGUUGCAUUUCUGUAUUCGAAUUUGAGAUAGCGAGUCAAGGUAUUCUUCCUCAGUCUCGUAUUCUCCAUUCGAAGCGCCGUGUAUUCGUUCUCUGUUCCGGAGAAAGCACUCGUUUCGUUUGUUCCGGCUCGUGAUUCGCGUAUUGGUAUUGUUCAGUUCGCUAGGAUAGUGGGAACUGACACAUUGAUUCGUAGCAGAAGCGCCGUAUGCCAUUCCAUACAAAGCAGUGGUCAAAAUCGAUUCCUCGUAUUCUGGUUCUGGUUCUGGGAAACAGGUCUUUCGUAUCGAGAAGUGAUAAGUCUUUGGUAAUCUUGGUAAUCAGAAGUGGCAACUCGGCAAUCGUCCAAGGAAGAUUCAUAGGAUUGGUCUCUUAGGAAAACAAGCAUCUCAAUCAAGUAUCAAGUCAAAGUCAUCUGAGUUCCCGCUUUCGCCUAGACAGCAAUCCAAUUCUCACUUCUGCUUUCCAAAGAAAGACAGCAUUCCAAUGAGUCACGUAUAAUGUGACGAAUAAAAGGAUGUUCGUGUAGCAGCACUCCUAUAGUGUCUGAGUAUGGAAAGCCAGGCCUGUCGCAUAUAGUGGGAAAACAAGCCUACCCUCCUCGGCAAACCGGAAUCAAGAUUGCUUUCAUUUUCCCGGUGUUUUCGUCCAUCCUCCAAUUUCACUAAAGAAAAUGGGCUUCUGGAAAUGAGAGUUUUGCAGUAGUUCCAAAUAGUGAGAUGAACUUUUCCAAAAAGCAAUCGACUCUCCCUAGGUAAAAACCAAUUAUGGACUUUGCCAUCUAUAUGAUCCGCACUUUUCUCAUUGGAAAUCCAAUGAGUCACGUAUAAUGUGACGAAUAAAAGUUAGGCAAAAUUGACUUGAUGCCCAAAAUCCCAGUAAAAUGAAGAAGUCGAACCUGUCAACCAGAGAGCACCAUUUCUAUAUGAACAAUUGAGAUUCACACAUUACGCUAUCCAUUCCUGGGCCAUUUACUUGACUUGAGCUUGACUUGAAUUUACGUAGAUGAGCAUCUCUUUUGCAUUUGGAGUAGUGUAGUGACUUGCCUGUCCUCCCUUAAUCAGUACAGCUAGGAACCUCGAAACCUGAGAAGAGAUCGGGUUAGAAGAUCCGACCUGCCGCGUUGGGAGGAAGAUAAUUGGAGGACUAGUACCGGAUCGUAAGCAUUGGUGCUUCAUAGGUCACAAGUGAAGGAGAAGAAAUCCAAACCUAAGCUUUCUUUCUUGAUAACGAAGCAGCAGGAGAUUCCUCUCUGUUUUCCACCCGCAACGCAAGGUACUUUAUUGCUUUGCUAGCAUUCCAUCCAGAUAGAUACCAUUUAUCGAUCUUUAGAGGCUUGAGAGGUCGGGGCAGAUUAUCGACCCGACCGAAUCAGUCUAUCCCCACCUGUAGCGGAAGUAGAAAAAUAAAAUAGAUAUAGCUAUUUCUUAUAACAUUUCUGAUCUGAUAUUGCUGGCAGUAACCAUUGUAGCCAAAGAAAGUGAGAAAGAAAGAAACUAAUAGAAGUCGAAGACGCGGAAUGGUAGUGAAUAGAAGGGAAGAGAUGGGCUGUACAACUCUUACUAGGAAAACAAGCAUCUCAAUCAAGAUAGCAGACGAGAUGUAGAGAAGCAAAGCACUCAUUGCCGUGGGAACCUUAACUUGAGCGGGGAAGAGAUUUACAAGAUCAGCAAACUAGGAGCCCCAUAAUCUGAGGAAGGCCAUGGCUAAUCCUCCAAAUAAGAUAAGGGAAUUCGCUUAGGUUCUUUUUCUCAAGAGAGCAAGCCGCAGGGAUGGAUCAAGCAGUAGAAGGGAAAGGGAUAUCCCUGUCAUCAAAGCCAAGAGACCACGGUGCACAAUAAGGAUUCAAGGCCAAAGUGCAAGAACAAAUAAUAUAGCAAGUGCACAAUUCAUAAAGACCAUUCAGGCUCACUACAGUAUACUAGAGCACCAGCUGCUCACUUGUUCACAAAACAUAUGAAUAGGCAUCCAAAGGAAAUAGGCAAGUCUCACCUCCUAUCACUUUUCGAUACGAAAGAUCCAAUAUGGGCGAUCACUACAAUUGGGUUUGUUCGAGGCAGAGCUAUUAGUAACUUUUCUACCCAAGGAAGGUUCCUUCACCAGGCGUAUGCACCGAAAGUACGAAUAAUUAGACCUGCUGCCAUUCUUAAAACGCACCUGUGUCACUACAGUUCAAAACUGCAACAAAACAGAUGCAUAAUGAGACCGAGGAACCCAUACCAUUACCGAUGGGAGGCCCACAAAAGAAAGCUAUGAUUAGGAAUCCGGGAGUGGUUUAAGCUCGUCAAAGAAAAGAAAAGGAGUUGUUAGCGAUUCUCGUCAAGGAAGUGUUCCCUCGACUCGACCCUCCUCGUUCGGUAGAGUACACAUAUUAACUCGAAAUGCAGCAGAAGACACCUAUUUAAUCGAUUAAUAUCCAAACGAUCCUAUGGAAAGCAGAUUCGGAUUGAUUUCCUAGACCCACACAGAAAACAGCCCAUAUUUCAACCAGAAAUGAACGAAUAAAGGCAACUCCAGGAAAAACCUGGUACCCGUUACUUCGACCAGAUCCCAAUGGAUCCGUACAGGGUGAUUUGAACUGCUCCUCUCGAGAAGAUCGACGGAGCUGAGCUAACUUGUGAGACGGAGCUCACUUCUGAGAUAGAGCUGUCUUCUUUCUCUGCGGCAGGGCAGUGCACCCACCCAUCUCUUCCUCUGUCCAAAUGAUCCACCUGAUUGGUCCUUUCGGGCAUAUAGAGUCAGUCUCAUCCAGAGCAUCACGAGCUUCACCACUACAACCAUCUGACAUUCAUGCACGAAUCCAUCCCUCGCACUUUGUUUCGCUAGCUGCCCUACCUCGCUCGUAAUGGUGCCAGUGCCGGCUCGAUGGUGGACUCGGGAAUGGUCAAUCCAGAUGUAGAGAGCUCCCUAAAAGGAAACCUGUUUUCAUCAAAGACAACAUGUCUGGAAAUCCAAAUUCUGUUAGUUGGUAUAUGAAGGCAGCGGUAACCUUUCUGUUGUGGUGCAUAACCAAGAAAAAUACACGGCAUCGAACGAGGCUGAAGCUUGUGAUCAAUGUAAGGUCUGAGGUGAGGCUGUCUGAGAAUACGAAGAUUCGGGUCUUUAUGAAACAAUUGUGUGAAGGGAGAGAGAGAAGAAGAAGAGGCGCGGAGCGAUUGAUGAGAUAGACCACACUUGCAAAUAUUUCAUCCCAAAAGGAACCGGGAUAGAAGCGUGUUGCAUAACAGCAAGGCCGCUAAGGUAAUGUGUCUAUGUUUGCGCUUGGCCACUCCGUUUUGCUGAGGAGUGUACGGACAACUGGUUUUAUGAAUGAGUUGUGGGAAAAGGCGAGAGGGCGCGAAGCGUGAAUGGAACCAUGAGACAAGGCCGCAGGAGAAGAGCCAAUGUGGGAUAUUUUCAUACCAGUACCAUCUCCACUCCACUCCAAUGGUGAGAGUAUCUGAACCAGCAUAAGCAAAAUAAGAGGACAGGUGCGAAGCAAGUCACCGGUGACAUGAUGAGAAGCUCCUGAGUCUAAGAGCCACUCAGUCGACUGAGGUAGAGAAGGCACUGAUGAAAUCUGAGACGGCACUGGUUGCGCAACUAAGGCGUGAGCGAGGGUCUCUUUGUGGUGGUCUUUCACCAUCUUCCUUUUGAUUGGCCUAUAUCUUAGAAUCCGGUCUUUCGCUGUUCCCACAGUCCCUUAGUCCCGUACCGGCUGUCGGUCUAUCUCAUAUUCGCAGAAGAAGGAACUUGCCAUGCUGGAAGUGUAAUUAAGUAGGCGGCUGGUCGUAGAAUAGUCUUUGAAGUAAGUGCUGUUGCAGUUGUAGAACCAUUGAUUCUUCCUCGCAAACCUUUCAUCCCCGCUGUCUAGCUCUCUCCUAGUCCAAAGCGAAUUCCAUCGUAUCCGCCUUUGAGGAAAAGACCGAAUCCGUCUUUGAGCCAUCCUAAGAAAUCCUCGUAGGUAAUCUCCGCAAACCGGCAUCCAAUAGAGUUUUGAGUUGUCUGUCUCUUUAUUGCCUAGAACUGGCCAAUGAGGUUGAUCCAAACAGAUCCAUGGAAGUAUCACAAUAAACAGAUGCAAGAGAGAAAUCGAACUAGGAAAUCCACGGAAGGGAAGAUAGCCACCUCGAAUCCUGAGACCUAUUAGACUUCCACUAGACUAGGAAAUAUCUCAAAAGAUCCUCGGCAUGGUUCCUUGCGGCAGGGUUGAUACGGUUUCUUGGUCAGGUUGGUAAAACUGACGGAUAAAGACUGGGUUUUGUGUUGAACACAUAGCACGAUGGGCCUUGUGAGUUCCCUGAAAGGAAUGAUUGUGAACAAAUUUACGAUUCCUCUUCAUCGUCAUCUAUCUUUGUGGCUUAAACCUGAAUCCUGUUUGCGAUGUUAGUACUGUGAUAUCUACUGACCCAUGUACGCAGCAAGGGUCGAUCGGAUGCUGAUUUCAGCUCCCAUAUAAAAGAAAGCAAGGCAGUCAUGAAAAACUGUCAUGCUUUGUUAAAAUGAUUUUAAGUUCAGACCAAUCUGUUAUUCAAAGAUCUACUUUUACAGAUACAGAUCAUACUUCACCUUAAUUUUGCGAUGACUAAAAUAUUGCAAAAACGAUUUACUUAUACCCGUACCCGUCGAGAGUUUCUUUCUAUAUGAUAAUUCGAGAUUGCUCUACCGGACCUGAAUACUUGAUUCAUUAAGGUCGUCACCCUAUACCCGGAAGUCUCUAUCGUUUUCUUUGUCUGUUAAGCGGGUUAGGACUCCCUAAAUCAAACAGCAAUCGCUGUUUAUCAACCACUCACGGCGACACCGAGAUCUUCGACUUAGCUCCCUCCCACAGGUCAUCCCCCCGGGGCGGAAGAUAACGAAAGGGAGACAAAGUCCUAACUAAAUCAACACACAAUAACCUAAACCUUCUACCCAUUCCAUCCAUCAUAUCCGUCGAGUCGAGGAGAUUCGUUCUUAUCUAUAGAUAAGGCAAGAGAGAACUUAUGCCCUCGCGGAUGGAGAGGGAUUCGAACCCCCGGUAUUCCUAUCAAUACUUCGGUUUUCAAGACCGACUCUUUCAACCGCUCAGACAUCCAUCCCUGCGCUCGCCCGCCCUAUCUAUCUGCGCGCUGGCAGGUAGGGGCAACUCUAUGUGAUUCGCUACGCUUACUUGCGCCCCACCCCGUAAGCUGACUCUAUUGCCUAGCACACUUUUCCGGUAGUACGAAUCGCUACGCUUCGCUUCUUUCUAUAUGAUAAUAUGCACCGUCGGUUGCUGCGCUCCCUGCGGGUAAUAGCAAGAGAGUGAAGAACGAACGAUCCUAAAAAAAGUAAGCAGUGAAUGAGUCCGACUCGAGUUCGUGAGUCAAAGGCGUGGCAAGAGAGCGAGUUCGACUCGCGAACGAUCCGCAAGUGAAGGACCGAUCCUUUAACGCCAGUACUGUUGCGAGACUGGUACUUGGCGGCUCACGAGCAACAUAUAGACUAAGGUUGCCCAUCACUCCCUCGCUCCUUUUUGAAGGCCCACCGCUCCCCCUUUCUUUAAGUAUCUAUCCCGGCUUGCAUUUUGGGGCGAGUACUACAGUUCCUCCAUAAUCACACAGAACGCCCAGCUUCGCAGAGCUGCUCUCUCCCCAGUCCACAGCAAGGUGUGGAAUCUGGAUCUACUGUGUGUUCUUACUCUAUUGGAUCAAGUCAGAUACUAAGCCUUCUACUACUACUACUACUACUUAGGUUAGGAGAUAAAAUGCUAAAUUUCAGAGAUUGGACUCUCUUACUGUGUUUUUUCAGGGCUGUUCCCGAGCCAGGUUCCCUGGAUCCAUUCUGACCUAAAUGGAUGAAUGAAGAAGGGGGCGAGCAGAUACGACGGCCACACACUUCUUUUUAGCCGAAUAAAGCCGGAUCUACUACACGGCUAGGAUCAGAGAAAGAUUGAGAAAGCAAGAUCAAACCUACUCUACUGUCGAUUCAAAAGGUAAACUGCCCCCGAAGACUACUUUAUUUUAUCAAUGAAUGGAUCAAAGAAGGAGGCUCUAUCUAUGUCAUCGUAUAUAAGGGAAGAAGCCCGCCCCUGACCUAAAUGGAUGAAUGAAGAAGCUAGCCCGGGUAGGGUAGACUUUAAGAGCUCUUGCUCUGCCUAUCCGUCUCGCUCCGUCUUGGAGGAAAGAUACGAAGGGCCUACUCUUUUCAUUAAAGCCCUACUCUUAAUAUAAUAAUAGUGAAAGCCUCCUUCUCUUACCUACUUUGACUCAUAUCUUCGGUAUACCUCAAUACAAGACAAGCACUGGAAAGGAUAUUCAAGAAAAACCGGGCUAUCGCCCUAUCUAAGCGGGUUUCCCCUCUCCUCUACGGGAGUCCUCUUUUAGUCUAUUUCAGUUCCUGUGUCUAUCGCUAUCGCCCUAUUCUCUCUCAAUUGCCUAUCCUUUUCAAAUGAGGGGGAGUACCUUUUCUUUAGCUUCCAACAUGAAAGAUUGACCCCCUAAAGUGCCAGAUAUGCAAGUUUGAUGAAGGACUACUUACUUAGCUAAGCUAAAGUGAACUUCUGACUAAAAAAAAAGUGGACUAAAAGAGAACAACAAAAGAGAGAUCACUUUCGACGAUUAAACAGCACUUUUAUAUCCAGAUUGGAACUGGACUUGAACCUUCAUAUCCAGAUUUCACUCCACUUUCACUUUCAAUAGUGAAUUAUUCACUUUCGCUCAUAUUCACUUUCACUUUGGCCAGGCCAAGAAAUACAAAUAAGACCUUGAACUCCCUAUUUCACGUAUAAUCGAGAGACUCAGAAUAUCAGUGCCUUGGGUAAAUGCCUACCAAAGGGAGAAGAUUACCGAACUUUUUUCUGUCCUCUUCGCUUCCUAAAAUAUUUAGGGAAAAGGCCUAGUCGGCCACCGCUUGCUAACGACGGAAGGAUGAAAGGGUCCUCGCGUGGGACUUAGUUGGAAAGGUAGGUGUUCGGCAUGUCCCUUGCUUGCGAACUUCUUUAGUAGGGCGGGUAGCUUUGGAGAUCCCAUUUUUUACGUUUACCGUUGUCCCCAGACUUCACUCUUUCAACACUUGUCUACUUUCGAAAUAGUCAGGCGGGUCCAAGUGUGUGAUCCACCGAUUCACUGAGUGGGUCUUUCUUACCGCAGUUUUCCCUAUCUCUUAAAGCCCUAUCAGACUUCCGAUCCAUCCCUUGUUUGCCGAUUGAAGAAAGCCUUAUAUGGUCUCAAACAAGCACCCAGAGCGUCGGUUUGCAAAAUUCAAGAUGGCCAUGCUGGUGAAUGAAGCUGGAUUCAGACAGAGCUCGUGUGAUCAUUCUUUGUUUGUUUGUUAUACGGCUUAUGGUAUGGUUAUUUUUUUGGUCUAAGUUUAUAACAUUAAAAAAGCAGGCAUUGUUAUUGUUAAAGUGAAAGUGAAAUUUAACAUGGGAAUUUUCUUUCUUUCCUUCAGAAACAGUUCAGAAUGAAAGAUCUUGGUGACUUGAGGUACUUUAUCGGUAUUGAGGAAUAUAAUCCCUAUUGUGGGUACAUAGAUCAUGAGCCAACAGAAGCCCUUGAGUUGAUUUGCUCGAUUUACCGCCACAUACUACUUACUAAACAGACUCUACUUUAGGGGUCGGGUCUCGAUCCGAGUUGUUUAGCGAAUGACUCAACCAAUACAUCUCUACUUCGAGGUGUAAAUAAAUUCCACUCUUUAUCCUCUUAAUGAAAGAAUCGAAUUUUCUACUUUGACCUUGCGAGCACCCACUCAAAACAGGGAGGGCGAACUCUUAUCUCUUUUCUUGAUGACCGAUCUCUCUCAGAACCCUAGACCAUGCUAUACAGGCUACCCCUUCAUACACAUUACCUAGUAUCUCCUUCAUUUUCUAUUAUUUAAUUGCUUUUAAUGGCAUACCUCUCUACUCAAAUAGAUACUCACAGGAGUCUAUUUCCUCUUCGCUUACCACCGGUAUCUACCUUUCUAGUAGCAAUAAAUAAAGCCAAUAAUUAUUAUUAUUCAAUAAGCAUUCCUCUUGUCAAAACUUGUUUAGCGGUGACUUCUAUCGAUCAGGGUUAUCCCAUGGAUACUAUUUGUAUUUUUACUGUUGAGUACAGGGAAUUCCAUCCUAGAAACAUAGCAUCUAACAAUAUAGUUUACUGUUCCAUUCUGAUAUGAAGGAAGGUGAGGGUUAAGCAGAUAGGUAGGUUCAAAGAAUGGGUGAACCCGACCACUGCUGGGCAAAUGAGUACGAGCUGUCUAGCUGUGGACAAGAAAGGGGUACUUCGAAGAGCAUGAAUACAGCUGGCUGUGCUCUUGUAGUCAUACCCUCGGUAAGAAGAUCCUACCCAAGGAUAGCGAGUGAACACUCCCACCAUAAGCGAGCUAAGAUAGUGGAAUUCAGUCUAUGAACGCAAGCCUAAAAGUAGAAGCACAGAAUCCUGUCUAAUAACCACGGAUGUAGAAAGAUCUGGUGGAAGGCCACUGGAUGGAAGGUUAUGCGUAAUAUCAAACUAAAGUCAAAGUUUACCAAGAGGUAAGCCUGAAUGCUUUAGGUUCGCUACGAUAGUUGUUACUCACUGGGUCAACUAGUCAUGGUAUAGUUGUUUACAUGGUAGCUGGUUGGAUCGACAGACCAGAGAAAAGAGAUUCUGGGUCAUCCCCAUGAGCUGAUACAGCUCUUGUUUGGAUCGCCUUCUGGGCAGCUAACUAAGGAAAGGAUUAUCGGGAUUAAUUCCAAUUGUGGGUUGAGAAGGAUGGCAAGCUGGUUACUCAAAUUGGAGAUACCCUGUUCUAGGAAUGAAAGGGUUCAUCACCCCGGAACGAGGUAAAGGGCUACCCCUUGACCGAGUGAAGGCGAGCCUGGAUCCUGAGAUUGAUGGAUGAUGGAAUGGAUCCAACCGCGAGGUACCCAUUCUAACCAUGAAGGGUAAAGGAGCCAAGCAAGCUAUCAGGCUGAUACACCACUUGGUUAUCUUCUUUAAGAUCAUCUCUCUUUCCUGCAUUCUUAGCUAACUCGGCUUUUUAGUCAAAUCGCUAAGCUAAGGGUAAGCUGCUUUCGGGCUAGCUUGUAAGCCACGACUUAGUUUAGUUUAGUUUAGUAUAGUAUAGUAUAGUAUAGUAUAGUACUACGAGGAUUCUGGCGGGGAAAUGCGCAGCGGAAAAAGGGAGAAAUGUUCUUUCCAAUGAAGAAGGCCGCUAAGGUUGGCUUUCUUUCCUCCAUCAUUACUGAUGUUUUUAGCUUCUAAAUGGAAUCUGAGGAAGGGAAUAGCUCUUGUUCAUUAGCUCUUGUAAGAAAGAGUGGAAACCACAUAGCAAUAAGCAUCUCCUUACUAGGCGGUCUAGUUCACACAGACAGUGCUUACUUAAGAUGGAUCAAUUGACCUGUCUUGGUUUUCUAACAAUUGCUUACUCUGCUGCUUUCGAUUUGUGAGCCAGGUAUAUUCUAUUUGUAUGUAUUUGCAAAAUGCCUAUGUCUCUAAUUUCUGCUUCUUAGGUUGCUGGCGUUGGCCCCAACUGAGUCGGCUCCAUACAUCCAACAGAUGAAUGGCUAACUCAUACCGCCCCGGCAAGGAAUGGCUCGCUCUUUCCUAAAGCUGAGGUGAGGGGAUGAGCCAUUCCUCUCAAAUCAAAAGGGGGGCUCGCUCCUUCCUUCCUACCUAUUGGUCGGCUCGUUCAUCUACUCGCUGGAUUGGAGACCUAUUGUUUGGAGGGUUUUAGUAUACACGUACGUCUUUGCUUUCCUUUUUAAUGCUGCCGGUGAUUCAGCCACAGCCACAGUAAGAGCCGCUACCCUCAUCUCUGUUAUUCUUAUUUCAAAUAAAAACGAAGUAAGUCUUUGAACGUAGAGCAGAAGGGAGGGUUAUUAACGCUGCUAAUAAAACAGCCGAAAAGACAUCGAGUUUCUAAUCGCUGAGUUGAUGUGAAAUGAUCAGUGAUCAGACUAAACAAAGCCGGUUUAAUAGAGCACUAACAGGGCGGCAGACCUAUUUAUAGAAAAAGAUAUAGUUUCUAUUUGCCCAGGGAGCAACAAGAAAGGUCACGGGUAAAGCACUCUAAGGUUCCAUUUUGGAUUGUCUGGUAGGGAUAUUGGCUACGAGACCUACUAUGAAAGUCUGGAUACCAGGAAAACGAGCGAAAUUGCUGACUCGCUCCUAGGAAGCUUCCAAAGUUUUUAUUACAGGGUCUAAGAACAGCAAAUGGGAAGUUCUCCUCACACUCACUCCUCUCAUUUAUAUCCUUAUUCAUGGCUACCAUCUAUCUUAAAAGCUACUGCUGUGACACUCAUUUUCUAAUUAAUUUUAAAACUAGGUAGGCAAUUUACGCACUUUUCAAUGAAGAGUGGAUGAUCUGCCAGCUCUCGCGGAAAGAUGUCAAAGUUCUUGUGAACCCCCAAUUCUGCAGUGGAAUGAGAUAAAGCAGCCCAAAGGUCCACCGGGAUUUCAUCUAAACUCCGUGCCGUGGUGCACAUUAGCAGAAUACAUUCCGCUUCGAAAGAGCCUUAUACUUAUACAUAGACGGAAAAAAGAAGAAGAGGGAGAACGGUUGGAUUUGGUCUUGUUGUCUGUUGUUCUUUUCUCUAUCCUUAUAGAGAAAGUGUUGGGUGACUUUCCCAUACGAUAAUAAAAAGUUUUUCAAACAAGUAAAUCAAGUCCUAGGUAGAGGUUUUCCCCGAGUCUACAUACUGUCUUUUGAGUUGCUUUUUAUCGAGGGAAAGAGGGGGCCUAACUAAAAUAAAUACGGGAUUUUCUCCCAUACUUUUUUACUGAGCCAAACGGACGGAGUUAAGACUUCGACUAGCUAGCUUUGAACAAUAGACUCUAGCCCCACCAGGUAAUCUGGGGCUUUAAAGGGCGACCCGCUUAACUUUACUGAAAUGAGGUAGCUAGAGAAAAUCCAUGAAAUGGGUUGGAAUUAAGAUGUGCGCGCACUUCUUCUCAAAAGAACUACUAGGCAGGCCAUCCAGGUAGGCGGGUAAUUCUCUCCGUAUGGCUGGAAAUGCAUGCUCUCACUUCGAGUUUCAAUUCAAUCUUAUCGCAAACGCACUACUAUGCUAUAGCUAUAUCUAGGAAAAGCGGCAAUACAAAGCCAAGAUCUUCCUUACUAAACUUAACUCAUAAGUUUAAGUUAAUGAGGGCUAAUCCGUCCGCAGUUUUCAACUGGUAAAGCUUUCCCUGUCUCUUCGGGACAAAUAAAAGAAAAAGUAAAUGCAAGACAACCUGAAAGGAAUUCCUAUGUAUGAGUUAGUUCGAUUCCAUACUCGGACUGGUAUAUAUAAGUGCUCAUCACUACUCGACUCAAUCUACUAUAGGAUAGGAUAGGAUAGGAUAGGAUAGGAUAGGAUAGGUAGGUAGAGAGUAAUUCUCCGAAAGAACUACUAGUAAAAUAUGUAGGUAGGGCUUGGGCAAGUAAGUAAAGUAGGCAUGAGUUAUCUUUUCCUACGGCCUACCGAGUCAAUCUAUUCGGACAAGUAAAUAAGUCUGGGCAUUCCUUCACUUCAGGUAAUUCGAUAAGUAACUACGUUCAUUCAAUGCUAGGGCUCUCCACUUUUUGUGAAAUUACAAGGGGGAAAAAUGCUCUCUAUCUAUUCCAAUAUAGACUUGUUUGUGGACCUACCUUCUUUUAGUUAGCAAGUUCGUAAGGCAAUACAAAUCCAAAAAAGCUAGGAAUUGAACCAACCCACUUGAAAUUCUCGUAAAGAGAGAGAGAGUGUUGUUUUCUAAAACUGGAUAUUUUAUAGCCAUUUUCAGUGCAUCUAGAUCGUGCGGGCUCUUUCUUAAUUUCAUGUCCGUCCCGGCUACUCAAAACUCUGAUUCAGGAAAGAAAUGCUAAACAAAGAAAUGAGCAAACGUUACUAGGAAGGUGAACUCGCUAUCAAACUACUGCCUGCGCUAGGGGAAGCGCGAAAGAAAAACCUGUUUCAAGAUCUGAUACCCUUGAAGGACUCCCAGGAAUGAGAGAGCAAGUACAAGGACAAUCUUAUUUUCUAAGGAUAGGCUCCAUAAUUAACAUAGUUCGGUUAGAGUGGAUUUGAAAAGCUACAGCAGAUCGAUAAGUUGCUAAUUUAGCUAAGUAAACUCCACUACGGAAUCUAGCUCUCCAUAAGAGGGUAUUCCCAAUGAGACAAGUAGUUUAUCGAAGCUCUGUCUGAAGAUUGUAGUCCUGAUUUCUCGGAAUAGAAUAAUUGAAUGAGCAGGUGCAGAUGGUCAAUCUCCAUCUCUUUUAUGGCAGAUUCUUUUUCGAGGACCUGGCGACAACUCUCUCUGGACGGUAGGGGAACCCCUGUGAAAUCAGUAAUCAACGCACUCCCACUCCUCUUGCUCCAAUUCCCUCUCUUCCUGCUAAAGCUCCAACUUAUCCAGACUGGUCAACAAUUCUUCCUUUGUUCUCCUAAUCUCUCUAUUCACAUUUGCACUCCACCCCUAAAACACUUUCUCAUCUGUUGUAAAUGUACUCAAAAGGCUUCCCCAAUUCUCCUUUUAACAACAGUGCAUGCUCCUCUGAAUAAAGUCUUCUUGUUUCAACCAUGAUCUUUCAAACUUGAAAAACCCUUUGAACAGUUCAGUCUCACACUCCACCAACAAAGGAACAUGGUCUGAACCAUACCAUAUCUAGGAAGGGGCUGUCGCCACAGCAUGGGUAUACAACAUUGAAUCCCAGUCUAUUGUAAAAAGGAAUCUGUCUAACUUAGCAGCUGACACAGCAUUGUUCCAAGUGAAUUUGCGCCCUUGCAAAGGUAGCUCCAUCAGCUCUAUAUCCUCAAUCAGCCCAAACAAUUCCUUGCUAACCCUAGCCUGGAAUUUCACACCUAUUUUCUCACUUCUGGACCAAUUUACAGAUAAUCAUGUUUUCUUGGUAUCUAUAAUUAUAGAGCAUCUCAAAAUUGUGAUAGAUUGCAGUCUUGAUAAUGCUAACAUAGUAUUGGUAAUCUAACAUUUCGUAUUUUGAUGCCAGUCACAACAGUUUGACAGGACCCAUUUAUCCAAAAAUAGUCAACUUGAGAGGACUUUUCAAUCUCGAACUCAAACUGAUGCGUAGCUAUUAUUUAGAGAUGCUCUUACAGAAUCCCAUCCCAUGCUACGGAAUGAAUCUAGUUACCAUCCGAUUUAGCUCCAUAAAUAUGGACAUGGCUUAAGGAAGCUAAUUACUCGGGUUCAAGUAGUUCCGGCUAGAGAGAUGGAGUAACUAAGCCCUAACGUUAGAUCCAUUAUCUCACAGAGUUCAAUUCAGACAAUUCAACCCUUCCUGCGCGGGUGCCAGACAUCGCCAAAAUGAGUAAGUCUAAGUCGCCGAAGAGAGUAUUUUUGGUCUCUCUCGCAAGCUCUGAUAGUGAGACAACAAAGGAAAGAAUCUUCAGGCUAUUCGCUUCCCUCUUUCAGUGUAGCCGGGUAGCAGUAUCGGCAAUCCCACGAGCAGACGAAUCAAAUCAGGCCUAUUCUUUUUCUAUGUUCUUUUUUUGCUCUACCCAGGGCUUCUAUGGUCAAACGUGGAAGCCUUUUUACGUGCACAAGUCCUGAACGAAUUUCGACUCGUCCCUCUCUUUUCUUGAGACGAGGACUUAAGUUCAUUUUAUCUUCUUCUCAAUCUCCGUUCUUCUUUAAUUAACUACGAUCUUGAGAAAACCAUGCGCUGUCUGGCGAUGCGAAAGAUGAGAAAGAAAUUGGCAUGUCCUGGAUCUACCACUUUUGACUUCCUUUUUCGUACUCUUCUUUCAUCCUCCUUACCAGAACGCUUUUCCUGGUUCAGAAGAAUAAGAUACUGAAAUUGUGUUGUGGCUUACAUAUGGAAAAUGCCUUCGUCUUGAAGCUACCAAUGCACACCACGGUGAAAUCAUUGUCAAUUAAUUGUUAGAUUCCCCAUAUCACCCAUAGCCACCCAAAUCUUUUUUUUGCCUCAAACUCUGCUGCCCUAUCACUCCUCGAUAAGUGUACUUACUCAGGUUGUGCACUUGGCUGAGCGAGAUCUUCCCCUUUGGCAUGAGAACCGCCUACCUACGCUAACGUAACUAAUGCAGAUGGCGGAAGUUAGUAGUUCUCCUAUCGUAGUAUUAUACGUAUUUCUCACGUGUAGACCUUAAGUUCUGCAGGAAGGAUAUUUAUAUAUAUACCAUUCCAUAUUAAAGUCAGACGGAUAGGGCAUAUUUGACUAGGAAGCAAGCAAAGCGAGUCCCUCCAUACCAGCUAGCAGUCUUGUUUAGGGAGUCUCCUUCUUUACUGAGUAAGGUUCCCGGGUGCCUAUGCGAUUAUUAAGGCAGGGUGCUACUGUACCAGUAGUAGAGUGGGUUGAAUCAAAUCGUUUGUCUAGAGAGGGUGUAGCGAUAACUAAAGCUGACUGUACUAGAAACUGGAGAUCCUGUAUAGGCAACUGGCCUUAUAAUAGUGUAUUGAACUACAGGACAGGAACGACUCAUAAACAAGCGAAUUCUGCCUUUAGAUAAAGACAAUUGGAAAAGAAGUCGAAUCAAACAUUCAAACCUAAGGCCUUUGUGGCAUCGGUUACAGCUGGGAAAGCGAACCUCUAUCCAUAACAAUAAAGAAGAAUCUCGAUCUAAUUGGAAAUUUCCCAUCACCUUUUUUUUUUACUUGUGGCUGGUUCCUGUUUGUCAAAGUGGCUUCGUCCGCCCUUCCCCUGAAAACUACGAUGAAAGCUGGAGUAGAUAGAUCUACCAGGCAAACUUCCCCUUCCUCCCAUGUGGUAUUCCCACCUCUAUCCAUGUUAUAGUCUAGAGCCAGACAACCUUUGUCAUAAUAUUUGCUAGUCUUUAACAGAUAGCAUUAUUAGUGACAUAAAGAGACCAUCCUAUCUGGAUAUCUCGACUUCUCUCUCCACUACGAGAUCUACUAGAGCCUUUUUUGCUUACUCUGGCGGGCCGGCCCCUUCGGGUCGCCUUCACUCGUCUAACGGCGACUUACGGUCUCUGCUCGUUUCCCUGCGUCUAACUAGUACUUGUUUCCGCUUCCACGGAAACAUUCGAUAAGUUAUACGUUACAAACUAACACUGCGGGCACAACUUCAUCGUGGUUCGACUCUGCGAUUACUCGACUCUCUCCUCGAUUCUGUUGUCCCUUGCCGCCUUAGGGUGAGUAAGCGGCUCUAGUCUCUCUCUCCUUUACGAUCUUAGUCGAGAUCUCCCUGCUUAACCCCUUUCAAGAUGUUUUGUUAUGUGUUACCUUUUUUUCCCAGAAUGAUCGGCCUCCAUGGAGGGUCCUUACCUCAACAUGGCCAUCAUACAGGUAAACAAACUUUUCAUCGUUAUGAGUGAUAAAAUACGAAUUAUUUAUAUAAUCGAUAUAUUCAACAGAUCCUUCUAGUUGGUUUGUAGAUAAUAGACUUUGAAGACCUUCUAGGUUACAUACAAAAUCAUCGUACUUGAAGGCUAUAAAUACUUCGUUAUACCAACGGCUAUAUUGUACUCCUGGAUACCAUUUAUCAAACACUGUAUCAAUUCAAUUUCAAUUUUCAAUAUAGUAUAGUAUAGUAUAGUAUAGUAUAGUAUAGUAAAGAUGAAAUAGAACUUUAGUUAGUUCUCCUACGGGAGAGACCCAUGGGUAAUUUAUCAUAUUAUGAUUCUGAAUAGAAUAGAUUGGUAGACUAACAACCUGUCCGGUUAGAUCUUUUAUAAGACCAUCGGGGAUAAUACCAUCAAUAUAUGCUAAUAUAUCAGUUUGAUUUGUAUGAUAGAAACUAUCACUCAACUGUAUUGUAUCUUUACAAGUGCUUUAACGUUAUUCUGUUCACCUAAGCCUUUAUAGUGGCCUUCCUUGAGAUCCCUCAACUUAGUGAGUUGCGGGGGUGUGUAAUAUCCAUAUCCAUCUACUAAGACUAAGACGGUGUUUAAUAACACUUUUGCUAACGCGUAGAAGUGCAUCAGAUGCAAAUCUACACUUAUAGACAUGUAAAUCAUCACCGUUCACACAUUCUGUGGUUAAGACCCCUCUAUCUUCUUCCAUUUCCAUUUCCAUAGUAACUAACUGAUAGAGGAAAUUCUCUUUCUUUAAAUAAUAUUUAUCUAAAUGAUAUAGAUCAAUCGGAUAAAAAUGGUACUCCCCAGUAGUGUAUAUUAUCUCUUUCAAACGAUCUUUGAUGAAAGACGUAGCACCUCUCACCCUCCAAUCAUCGUUAUAGACUGAAUCGAUGGCUUGCAUCAGCAAAACUAGUUCAUUAUUACAGAAGGUCAUAUCAUAGUAGAAUCUUUCUCUUGUUGUUGUGUUUUAGUUGGAUUUUCCUGAGUAAACACAGCGCCAACUUAUGAAUAAGUUAAGUAAAAUAGUCAAGUAUUUUCUAGUUGGUAAAUUUAGAUAAUGAAAAGCUCUAAAUAUUUCAUUUCCAAUUCGACCAACUUUUCUCUACUCUAACAAGGAGCUCCUGCUUCGAUACUAGGAAGGCACAAGGUCUCGUCCCCUUCACCCGCACACCGGAGCAGUCUCCUUUCGUUCAUGAGAUAAGAUGAAUCGCUAAGAGUGAGCUUCUGCACAGUAGAGGAUCUGAACUCAUAAGGCUCGCAGAGGACUCAUUGAAGAGUGUUCUAAAAGAAACCUCCUCGCAUCUAAGUUUUAUAAAACUAGUGGGUGUAAAAAUCCCAAAUUGACAGAUCUCUAUCAUCAUGUACAUGAAACAUCAAAAACUUCAAAAUAAACUACAACCACCUGUCAAUUGAACCAUAGGCAGACCUCUUGAGCUACCCACAGCAAGUCCGGUGGCAUUGUAGCCCACACUCGCCCAUCCCUAUGCUUAAACAACCCCCAAAAGACCCCUAUGAAAGCAGAAAUCAACAGCUUGAGUCUUCUUGGCAGGUGCCUCUUGGCAGCCAAAUUAGCUCUAUUUAAAUUGUAGGUCGCAUGAGCCACCAUAAUGAGCAUUUAGACUUGACCAAACCGCGACAGCAUACGGACAUUAGAAGCUCUUAAAUAAUGCAGACUCAACCGGGCUGUACCUGCACAUGACAUACGGCUUAGAGCAGUGCAGUUGCCUUCUUUCUUUGUUCACCUACAUUUUCUUGUUCUUUAUUGAAUUGGAUUUGACUGACGACAAGACGCGCUGCUAGUGCUAGUUUCAGUAAGCCUGUCUCUUCUAGAGGAAAGCAAAGCUGGCCCGGGAUUAAGAAGAGCUCCUAUUUUCAUACUCUAAGCUUGGAUAAUCCGCAUCAAGAAGAUUCGAACCCCUGCUAGCACUGCGUAAGACAACCAGUCAAUCUGGAGUUUAGUAGAACUCGCUUUUAGUCUUUCUUUCUUACACAGAAAUAGAAGUUUCUAGGUGAAAGCUCAGUUUAUCCAAUUACAUAUUAAUACCUUAAGAUUCUGAUGGCAUCACUUUCUCUCGCAUAAGGUCCAGUUGAUAUCAAACAAAGGUGGAUCCUGCAGAUUUUAUCACCCGGUGGCGAAAUGCAAGUGUUUACAGUGCCCGGGAUUUGGUCCAUAAGGGGUAAAGAUCUGCAUUACUAACCUACAAUCCGCGGGUGGAUAAGCAGAUACACGGUCUUGCGCUUCGCAAACAUUUGAAGAACUAUCUUAUCGCGCCACCGACUUGAUUUUAGCUUUUAUGAUUUCUCCACAUUCCCCCUAAUUCCUUUUCUUUAAUCCCCGGCUUAAACCCUUAUUUCAUUCCAUUGCAUGAAUUCUGGACCCUAUAUAUGCAUUUUUCUAGCGCUAGGAAUCGUAUUUCUUUAAUCCUGGGUAUUGGGGUAGUCAAAGCAACAACUAGAUAAUCCAAAAGUGCUCUUCACCAGGAAUCCAUCCCCGGACCACUUGACUUGUACCUGGAACAGAGAAUCAGCCAAUGGAAAGCAAGGCUUGCAGUUAGAUGUGGGAGAUGCUCAAGACAGAGCGUGAUGGCAAGAGUGGAGCGAAUAAUAACAGUUCUUAGCUAUCACAUUCAGAAAAAACUACAGCAUCCCUUGCCCCGCAAACCAUGUGCUUUCAUUCAAUUGUUAGAUCAGAUCAUUUGCAAAAGAAACCCAUCCUUGCUUUUAGGAAAGUAUCAUACCAAGACGAAGAGGAAUAAGGAAGGGCGAAGCAUUGAGAAGAAUGAAAGCCUAGUGAUUGCAAGCAAGUUUGGAAUUUUUCAGGCACGGGGAGCCCUAUUUCUAAGUUUACAAACAUGCUGUGGAUAGGUUGGAUCAGUCAAACCCGGUGGUUGAAGCAUGUAAACCGGCUCUUCCAAGUCACCAUGCAGAAAAGCAUUAUUGACAUCCAAUUGAUGUAAUGGCCAACCAAAAGAUAAGGCAAUGGUAAGUACAACACGUACUGAUGUGGGUCGAACAACAGGGCGGAAAGUGUCUGUGAAAUCUACUCCUUCCUCUUUGCUCCGCACCUUUGGCUACUAGCCGGGCUUUGAAGCGUUCUAACAUCAGCUCUUCUUUAUACUCGGUAAACCCAUUUACUGCUCCCGAUGUUGCCCGAUUGUUCUUAUACCACAUUUCUAAGUUGCACGGGCGGGCUACCAACUCACAUUUUGACGGAUCUAGAUUGUGGUUGUGUUUUGCGAUAUCAUGAAGUGUUUCGUAUAUUGUCGUAAGUGGAAAAGGCGCGCAGCGUUCUCGAUCAGAUCUCUUCCUGGGUUUGUCUCCGCGGCUUCACUAGUAAAUUCUUCGUUUCAUUGCUUGUCUCGUCUACGCCUGACAAGAUAAGAUAAGGUCAGAGUGCAAUCGGUGCGUGCUUGGCCCGGACGUUAAUCUGGCAAUAAGACGCAGUAUGCUUUUCUCAAAUGGUUUGGAGUAAGAGUGUAUGGAAAGGCGCGGAGUUCGGAGUGGAAUCGGCUACCUCAGUGCUUGCCUACAUCUCAUGUGAAAAAUAAACUCGCUAACGCUCGGGCUUCAACUCCAAACUUGUAGCACUGGUCAACGUACUAUUCCUCUUGGCUCUACUACUCUCAAAGAGCAUUCAACAAAGAAGAUAGCUCUCUAGAUCCUAUAUAGCUAGCUACUCAAGAUAUAAGUGAAUUGUCUGUGCCGGACUUGCUUGCAUAAGUAGAGCUGGGUCAGUUCAGGAAUCUGCUUACGUUGUAGACUAGUGACUCGUUAUCGUCAAGAUGGUAAAGGCUGUCUUUUCUCGCUUCGCUUCAAACCAGGGGCAUAGUUUCUUCUUUAGGUAAGGCUCCUCUCUGGAAGAAAAUUUCAUUGGCUCACUAGAUACCGAGGCUGGUCAAGGUUCACCCAAACACGCAAAUCGUAAACAUAAAAAUCCCUCGAAUAAGAAAUGUGAUAGCUCGGGCACUUUCUUCGUCAACAUGGGAAUCCGAAACAAAGACUAGCCUCUUCAACAAGGGAAGGCUAUCUGCCUACAUCCACUUACAUGGGAUGGGAUGGGACUACCUCCUUCCAAACAAACACUCUGAUCAUCGGCUCAAAAUCGAUCUGUAGGCAUAGGAGAAUGAAUCGGAUAGGGCUACUACUUAUUUUUAGGAGACUUACUUACGUUCUCUUUCAUCGGCGUUCUGGCUAUCAAGUCAAAGGGUCUUUCGUGAGAAAAAAAGCUGCGGCAGGCUUCUGAGAAAUAGAAAGUCUCUUUUCGCUACUCCUUACUAAUAAAAAAGUGAAGAUCCUUACGCGUACUCUAUUCGGGAAGAAUGAUCUUCGGUAAAAAGAGAAAGAAGUCUUCAAUUAAGCUGUAUUAAUCCCAGCUUACUCUGGCAUUGAAUGGUUCCCCUAACCCUUCUUGAUCUGACAGUAUGAAAAUCCCCUACAUUAAGCAUUUGGUUUUUAUGUAUCCGCCAGAAUCUCCUUUUUUUUCUUAACACUGUUGGCCCUCCUGUCAAACACCAUUUCUCCCACUAGAGAAACUGAAAACUCCCCGACCCAAGAAUCUAAUAGAGUCACCUGAGACUCAUCAACCGAAGAAGCAAAGGUGGUGACAGUGAAAUAGGAUCAGUCGAGCAUAUUAUAACCUCGGAUUCUGAGUACGAAAGAAAGGGUGUAUCCCGCCAAAACAAAAGACAUACUGGGGAUGCCGUUUCCUACUAAUAUCAAGGAAUUGAGAGGCUACCCUCAUUCAGCUUUCGCAGGCCCGGGCACUUUGGAGUUUUGCUUGGCUUUUCUAGUGCUUCAAAAAGCAAAUCUGGUUCGUGUGGGGCUAAUGGAGAAAAGAUGUACAGUGAUGCAAAAUGUCAAGGGCGCGCAGCGUGGGCAUAUUCUGAGGCAGUGAAUGAGUCCGUUCAAGACUUCGAUCCUAUGCUUUCCUAAUCUAGCGACUUUCGGAUUAUUCUUAUUCCCUGAAAAAAAGGAGCCCUUACUCAUCUUAAACAAAAGGCUUAGCGCCCUCAACUUACCAAUUUCACUAUAGGCUGGCUCUUGGUGGAAAGGUUCAAUUUCUGAUUCUUUUCUUGGAGCUGCAGAUGUAAAGAAGAAUUGAAUGCCGGCUAUUGCUUGAUCUUAUCCGGCUCGGCUGGCUGGCCAUAAACAACCAACUACUGCAUAAAGAACAGAAGGAUAGGGCUGAAACGUGGCUAGAAAUGCGGAAAGCAAUCGAUUGAAUCCAACGUGAGUCAACAGCGGGGUCUAUUAGUGCGUUACCGAGGGUGGUAUCAAAGGCAUAAAAGGGUUAGAAAGCGCCACGGCGCUAACACGCAUCCAUUUUCUUGCUAGAUGCUGACCAAUUGGUCAUGAACAUCGUAAGGCGUUGCUCUUCGCGAAUCCCUGCCGUAGUAUCAGCUACCCCUACUCGCUUAAAGCCCUUUACCGAAGAACUUCCACAAUGGUUUCCCUUUGACAUCUUGUAAGUCACAGCCUCCUUACCUGAAUGAACGAGCCAAUAAACUGGUGAUCGGUCCAUUUACUAUUUAUUAUAGUCUAUGACGGAAGAUCGUCUCUUUGCACAUGAGAUGCGUACUUUGUGGUUGGCCAGGAUAAGCAAAGCCUACAUCAUCUAGGACUUGCCAUUGAAAAAAAACCUUUCUAUUCGGUCAUCAACAGCUCGGGUCCAUUUAGCUUCGGUGACCAGAUAGAUCCAUCAUCUUCGAGGAGGAGGAAACAUAAGUCCAAUACGCGUUAUGGAAGACUAGGGAUUGCUAAUCCGCCCACGCGGGAAGCCUUCUCCCUCUCAGGCUCAAGAGUCAAGAUAGCCCGCCCUAAACAAGAAGCAGCUUAUUCUUUCUACUAUGGCAAUGGCAAUGGCAUGGCGGAUAAAGCAAACCAAAACGCGCAACGGCUUUCGCGCUAGUUGCUCCAUCCGUUGCUUGUUUGGUUUCGAUGCAUAAAUCAACCUCUCGUUCAGGCGGUAAUCCUGGUAGAGUCUCAUGGAAGACGUCGGUAAAUUCUGACACCACUGGAAUAGAUGAUAGGUUCUUGACCUCCGAUUUCGUCUGCAUGGCUGAUACAAGGUAGGCGGUACAACCUGACUCGAUUAGAUGCUGUGCCUGUAAAGCUGAGAUUGUCGUGAUUCGAUCACCAACUUGUCUGAAUUGCAAUGAAAAUGGCUUAGUCCCCGGUUUCUGGAAUGUCACCUUCCUGCGUGGACAAUCAAUCGUGGCAUGAUGCAUAGUCAACCAUUCCAAGCCCAGCAUCAUAUCGUCCUGCUUUUGCAACUAUUGGGUCUACUCUUAGCUCUCGUCCUGCAAUCUGUAUCUUAAGGUAUGAACACCUCAAUUCCUGAAUGAAGAAUUCAAAGGUUCCGAUCAACAUUGUUUUUCCACUCUCUAUUGUCGCCAGCCCACAUCUUUUGACCCAAGCUUUAGAUGAUACUGAGUGACUGCAUCCAGUAUCAAUCAGUACGUAAGCAAAGCACCCAGAAAUAUUGAAGAUACCUGCUAUCAGUUCUGUGGCCACGGUAGUGUCAUCUGUCUGAUCUAGUCUGUCGAUUGGUCCCCCAGCCUCGCUGUGAUGUGCCUGAACUGUGACUCGCGCGCCUCCUCUGCCUCCAAAUCUCACGUCCCGCUGAGAGAUGGGACCUCCACGACCUCUCGGCUGUUGUGUACCGCCACCUCUCGCCACUACUCCCUGUGUCAUCGGUUUGGUUCGGUCUGUACACCAAGCAUGAGUUUUGAAUUUGGCUUGGGACACUCCCUAGCGAAAUGACCGAGCCCACCACAAUUGUAACAAGUGCCAUUCUUCCUGUAGCAAGUUGACUCAUGAUGUCUCCCUUGACAAUAUCGACACCAAACCUUCUCGUAAUUCACAACGCCAGAAUUUUGCUUAGCUGGAUUUGCUGAUGGCGGGGAAUUCAUUGUUGGCCUUGAUUGAUGAUCCCUCGUGGCUUUACAUUGAGAACAAAGCUUUGCUGACCCGCUCAUAUGACUCCACUCGUAGCGCAUGUGCCAUCAGAUCCACUAGUCUCACUGUACCAGGAAGGUCGAUUAUUUGUGUAAAUCUGGGACCUUCCAGAUAUUGCCGUCGCAAGCGGAAGUCAUCUGCCACAAUGUCGGGAGCAUACCUCAUCAAGUUGUCGCAUUUCAUAUUGUAGUCCUGAACAGUACCACUCCCUUGUUUUAGGCUAACGAAUUGCUGUCGAAGCGCUUCCCGAGACAUAACAUCUAAAUACUGAUCAUUGAAUUCUCGCUCGAACCACGCCCAAGGAAUGGUUGGAUUUGAACCAUCAUUAUCUCCAUUAUGUCUCUUCUUUGCCUCCUGCCACCAGAAAGGAGCAUGGAAACAUGAGAAGCAAAGAAAGAAUGAACAUAUGGGCGUUAAGAGUUUUUUUUUGAGUUAAAUAGCUGGGAAUAAGGCUUACCUUUCGUAAGUCCAAUAUGCGAGUAAGAACAUGUGCGGGGAUAGGCAUAUGUUUGAGGAUAUGGAGGAAAUAGAACGAUUUCACUAAUUGUUUCGUCUGGGUCGUCUUUUAUUUUUUUACUUAUUUCUUUCUCACUCACUACUUUUUUCUAUUUUCUUUUGUCUAUCGAAACAGCCUAGGAUUUGACCUAGUCAGCUUAUGCUUCAUUUCCUUCGAUUUCUUCUUUCGAUAUGAGCGAGCUUACCCAAAACCUAUACUUUAAUGAUCUAGUAGCCCUAUUCACAUAUGCCUAUUUCUCUAAACCUAGUCCUAUUACUGGCAUAUCUCUCCCGGUGCUCGCUUAUCCCUAUUCCGUGCAUACCUGUCUCUUGCAUACAUAACUUUACUUUCCCAUGCCCACGCCUAUCUGUGAAUCCCUUUCCAUGAACUCUUAGGCUAUUGAAACCAUAUCUCGCCUAUUUUUAGUAGCUUACUCGUUCAUACCUAGCACCUGUUUCUCAACGUUACACAUACCUUGAAUGCCAACCAACAACUUGUUGACCUAACCAGAUGCGGUACGUGCUUCUUUGUUAAAUACUAUACUAUCCCUCUAAGCUAUUCCAUGCCUUUCUGUGAAAGCCUAUUCCUUACUUAUACCAUACAUGCCUCUUUCUAGUCCUAUUACAUACACAUAUUACACCUUCCUCUAACAAAUAAAAAAAUCCAUCUCUUCCGUCCGGGUUUUGCUUGACUUAUCACGCAUGCAUACUUGAAAUACUUUACUUAGCUUUCUAAACCUCAACCUAUACCAUUGCUUCUCCGUGAAUACAUACUUGCUUAGCUAACUACCUUAACCUUAAGAAAAGAAGUAUUAAUCACAAGCAAAUGCCUAGCUAGCUAAAACAACCUAUCCAGAUGCAUAUCUCGAUACCUGUUCGGUCGGUGCUUCUUUCAAGGGACAACCUCUGCUCGUGGUUCAUAUCUUGCUAGCUCUGUCCCAAGCUCCUCUUUCUAGUAGCCCUACUAAACCUAUGAGUUGACUCGUACAUACUCACUUAUUCUUUACUUAUCUUAUCUGUGACUGCAUAUUCCUAGCAUUGACCUAUUCAAUAUGUCUCUAUUGGCUAAACAAUAGCCCUUGUAAAAACAACUAUACCUGUCUCUGCCCGUGAAAACGAAAAAACAAAUCAACUACGGCUCGGCUCCCUCAACGUACUCACUUGUUGACCUAUCCAGCUUAUCCAACUACUUGACCUAAACCAUAUGGAUAUACCGGUACUGCACCGUUACGCAAAAAUGAACUCCUUUUUAUAGUGGGCCUAUGUCUUGUAUCCGUUACUUGGUCGUUCAAAUCACACAACCCAUACCUAACUCCUGUUUAGAAACCUGUGCUUGCCAGCUUAUCCUUUUUAGAAAUAUGCCUAUUCCUUUCCCUGAGCAAGGUAUAUAGAGGUAGUCACUCAUUGCCAGAACUACUACUAAAUGCCAAUGCUAGUGCUAAGCUUCAAGUACUACUCAGAAAUCUUAUGCAUAGGAAAUCCUAUCUAUAUAGAUAGUGGUUUCGUUAUCCUCAAGUCACUCAAUAAACUCUUUCCUACUUUCGUUAGACUUCUAUCGGGUAGCUGCUUACACCUACUUUCCUAUUAUAAAUUGCUGCUACUCCCUAUGUUUCCUAUUUUUGCGGCUACCUCCCUAGUGAGUGAGUCCUCCCACCCAAGCUAGAAACCUAUACCCAAGUUAACUCCUUUCUACUAUUUGUUUUCGUUCUUAUACUGAUUGCUGUUUUUCACUGUCUCCUAUUCAUGCUU